rnacentral:lncRNA from 1 species
AACACUUUCACAAAGACAGAUGAAUGAACUAGCUUUUGGUUUGGAAUUGAGUGGUCAAAGAUUCAUUUGGGUUGUGAGAGCACCAAGUGAUUCAGUUAGUGCUGCUUAUCUUGAAGAUGCAAAUGAAGAUCCACUGAAAUUUUUACCUAAAGGGUUUUUGGAAAGAACCAAAGAAAAAGGUUUUAUUUUGCCAUCAUGGGCACCUCAAGUUGAAAUACUAAAGCAAAAUUCAGUUGGUGGAUUUUUAAGUCAUUGUGGUUGGAAUUCGACUUUGGAAAGUAUACAAGAGGGGGUGCCAAUAGUAGCUUGGCCAUUGUUUGCCGAACAAGCAAUGAAUGCUGUUAUGUUAUGUGAUGGUCUUAAAGUGGCUUUAAGGUUGAAAUUUGAAGAUGAUGAGAUUGUGGAAAAGGAGAAAAUUGCAAAGAUGAUUAAGUGUGUUAUGGAAGGGGAAGAAGGUAUUGCAAUGCGUGAUAGAAUGAAGAGUUUAAGAGAAUCUGCUGCUAUGGCAUUGAAAGCCAAAGAUGGUUCUUCAAUUCAAACUAUGUCACACUUGGCUACUCAAUUGGAAAACAUUGGUAGGAUUUAGAAAAAUAGUAUUGCUCUUAAUAAUUUUCUUUUAUUAUUUUGAUGUUUCUAUUUUUGUGUCUAUUGGUUGUUUCCUUAAUUUCCAUUUUAUGUGGUGUCUAUCGAUUGUUGACACAUAACAUAGACAAGUUCCAUGUUCCAUGUGCAAAGAAGGACAAAAUGGUUCUCAAAAGAAUAUGGAAAUGAGAUUAUUUUCCUCCAUGUAAUAAUUGCAUCAUUUCAAUAAUGGUUCUAAAUUGUAUCUUCGAAUUGUGGUUAUGGCAAUAAUAUAAAGGUUUAGAAGCAUUUGCAAUAACAUUACAACUAUAAUUUUGGCCGCAUAAGUAUAAAAUAGGCUAAAAUAUGGUUUUGGUCCCUGCAAAUAUGCUUUGUUUUGGUUUUAAUCCCUGUAAAAAAAUUUGUCGUUUUUGGUCCAUGCAAAUAUGUCUCAUUUUGAUUUUGGUCCCUGGCUCCACUUUUGUGAUGAUUGCACACGUGGCACAUGAUGACUGAACUCAUUUAUUAGAGAAAUAGUCCCUGCAAAAUCUUUUGAUUUUGAAAAAGGUCAUGGACGAUUUUCAAAAAUAAAAUAUUUUGCAGGGACCAAAAACAACAAAAAAUUUUCAUAGAGACUAAAACUAAAACGAGACAUAUUUGCAGGGACCAAAACCGUAUUUUAGCCUAUAAAAUAUUGUGAGGUAUUUUUUUAAAGAAAUGUUGAGGUUGAUACUUAACUCUAUAAUCAAAACAUUUAGGUUUUCUUUGGGAGUUUAGAAGGGAGAGAAGGGUUUUGAUAAAAAAUGUGAGCAAGUGAAAGAAAUAGAAAACAUUAAUUGGAAGGAGAGAGCUUUGAAAGAUAAUUUUUUAUUGAUAAUACAAAAUAUUUUCCUCCUUUGGGAAACUAAAAAAUUGCAUUGGGGGAGAGUUUUGAGGGGUUUUAGAGGAUUUAUAUGAAUUUUUCAAAUUCAACCAACGUUGUGAUGAUAUUCUUAAAUUAAAUAUCUAUUAAUCAUAAGCAUUAAUUUAUCAUUCUCUAAAAAGUGGUUCUUUCAAAGAAUGUGAAUGAUUUUUCUAUUUUUCUAUAUAUUUCCAGCCCCACAGCCAUGCCUUCCUCUCCCCUCCAAACUCUCAAGCAUAGCAUUGAGUCUAACUACUGGAGCAUAAGAUGGCCUACGGACAUGCACCCAUCACUUUCAUGGAAGCUAUGAACGUUUUGAUCCAGUUGUUCCUCUGCACCUUUAUGGUGUGUGCUUUUCGACUAUAUUCUCAUCUACAUCAAAUUUUGCCAACCCCACCUUCGGCACCUAAAGCAAAUGUUAUCAAAUUUGCAAUCUUUUCAAAACAAAAAAAAAAUUCAAGCUAUCUAAAUGUGAGUUUGGUUAAAUUAUAAUUGAUUAUCUAGGAUAAGGCAUUUGAUUAUAAGGACGAGGUAUAUAUGAGCAAUUGAAGUUUAACCGUAUGCGUUGGGUGAUCUUGGUUCCAUUUCCUGCAAAGAGAUGCCAAAAUUAAACAUCUAAUAGGUUUGUGUCCUUUUCAUUUAAGCGGCAGCAAUGUCCUUGUCUGCUAGACUCUGUUGUUGUUGUGUGCAAGUGUGAAUUAUAUGUCUCACAUCGGAGAGAACAGUAAAGGUUUAAUAUCUUAUAAGUAAAAAGACCCAUAAACUCAUUGCCUUAUGGUUUUGGGUAAGAGUGUGGUGUCUCUCUCGCUUAUGCGGUUGCUCUAGCCUCGAUGUGGACCAUUCCCUUUUCUCCCCUAAGUGACCCAACAGUGGCAUCACAGCCCCGUUCGACGAAAGGUACGAUCGAGGCAGCUGGUCGUUGCGCAGAAAGCAGCAACGGCGGUACAAGCAGCAAGUGGCUCCUUGUGCAGGAACGGCGAUACAGGCAAAGUAAGAGCUUCCGCUUGAAGGGGGAGCACGAUGAACUGAUGGACUCACACUUGAGGGAGAGUUUUGUUGUGUGCAAGUGUGAGUUAUAUGUUCCACAUCGGAUAGAACAGUAAAGGUUGAACACCUUAUAAGUAAGAGGACCCAUAAACCCAUUGCCUUAAGAUUUUGGAUAAGAGUGUGGUGUCUCUCUUGUAUGUGUUCCCACCGUGCAUUAAAGCUGCUACAUGGUGUCAUGCAUUUUUGUAUGUGGCUAUGCAUUUUACAAAAUGAGUUACUAAUGAUGAUUCUUUUAAAACAAAAAGCAAUGUCAUAGAGAACAUAUCUUGAUGAAGAGUAAGGUAUUGUUUGAUCUGACUUUUUUACAGUUUAAAAGCUAGUUUAAAACAAAAUUAAAAUUAAGUGUUUUAAGAAAGAAGUUAAAGUUGUUUAGUUACCCUAAUGUUUUUAGUUUUAAAGUUAUUUAUUAAGUUAAAAGUUGUUUGACAAGAUAUUGUACAAAACUUUGAAUCUAAUAGUUGGUCUUUUCAUUUUCAAUUAUACUCUAUAACAACUUUCGUUAUAAGAAUACUAUAUUUUUUGUGUGAUUCAAAAAGAUAAGAAUUUAUAUUAUAUGAUAUUAUAUUUGUUACAUUGUUGGUGUCAUUGGAAAAGAUAUGUAUAGUUAUGAUUUGUUACAAUAUGUCUUAAGAUAUGUAUAGUUUGUUACUAACAAGUUUUAAUGAAAACACACUUAAUCUGAUUUGUGUAGAAACAUAGUGUAGGCCCGGACACUAGGCCCAUGAUGGAUGGUACCUAGGAUUGCACGGCUAUAAAUAGAGAGACUAUGUCCCCAUUGCCAUCACUAUGACUAUUCUGACUAUUCUGCUCAUUAGUGUUUUGCCCCGUUGAAAACCCUAAAUUUGGAGUAUGUGAAAGACAAAGGAAGACUUUCUCUUCAAUCCCGACGAAUCCAGUCACUAUGAUUUCCAAGUAAGUGUGUUCUAAUUUCAAACCCUACUAUUAUUGGGAUUGAGAUAGUAUUCAGUGUUUUCGGCUCGUAUUUGAUUUCUGAAAAAAUUUCCUCACGGUCUCAAUUUCAAACUGUAAUUAUAACGUGUAAUUGGUUUAAUUUUGAGAUCAUGUGAGUUAUGUCGAUUGCUUCACCAAUUAAUUUUGAGAAACAAAACAAAAAUUAAAUUGUUUGUUAGCAAUUUUGAUCCUUUGGGUUCCCUCACUAUUCAUCCUGAUCAAAUUUUUUCUUUCCGUUCCACUUUAUGAUCAUAUUUUUUUUUUUUUUAAGAAGAAUGAUCAAAAAAAAAAAAUUAAGGACUUCCGAAUUUUUUAUUUUAUUUUAUUUUGUUUUCGUUGCCUUAACUAUUUUCUAUUGUUGCAAUAAUUAUAAAGGGAAAAGAAUGCUUCUCAUCGUGCAAUUGAAUUCAAGUUCCUAAAGUGGAUAUGAAUAUCAAUUAAUUUUGAGUGAUAUGUUUCUAAAGAUUUAUAAUUAAAUCUUUUCAGUUUGGCUCAUUUUUUGUUAAUAUCGUUGUCAUAUUUUGAUAUUCUUUUCACCUUGGUAUUUUUUGGGCUGAUUUAUUUAUAUGUAUGGUAUGUACUUCAUGGUGAAUUUGCAUAUUUGUUUAAAAGGUUCAACUUUAUUUUCAAGAAUUUGUUCUUAUAUUGAGCAUACAAUUUGAAGCUUUGAAUUAAAAGAUUUGUUUGUUAGUAUUCAAUUUAAAUCAUUGAAAUUGUUUUAAUUUUCAAAAUCAUAUGGCUGAUAGGAAAAUUAAAUAUUUCCUAAUGGUGUGUGUGCUUGGCCUUUGAUUAUUUGACAAAAUAUUUUUUAAUCAAAAUAAAGCUGCUUGAACAAAGAGUUUUGGUUGUUUUCUUUGUGGAAUUUUUGGUAAAUUUCUUUAAUCUAUAUGAAAAAUGGUUUGAGUUUUAUAAUUGUUUGCUCAACUAUUAUUACUUUUAUAUGUGCCAUCUAUGUAUUAAUAUGUGUGAAAUUGGUAAAGUGAUCCAUUUUUGUGUGUGGCUCUUUCUUCAUUUGAGUUUAUGGAUAGUUUUCUUUAUAUAUGACAUUGUUUCUACUAUGUUGUUCGAGUGGAUUUGAAAUUUGGUUUAUUCAUAGAUUGAUUUUUCUUUAACAAUAUGUUUAUCAUGAUUGAAUUACAAUUGUAUGUGUGGAUCCAAUACAAUUUUGAGUAGCCAUGUUUAAAAUAAAAUCAUGUAUUUUUGUGCUACUCCUUUUGAUGUUGUGUUUGUUGCUGCAAAUUGAUUUUACAUUUGUUUAUGUUGCCAAAAGAUUUGCAAUUUUUUGUUUUAAACAAAUUUCACAUGUUGUGAUUCAAUGUAUAUGUGCAUCUAAUGUGUAUAAACAUUGGCUUGAUUACUAUGUGAAAACUCCAUCAAGCAUAAUUUUAUUUUAUCUCAAAUUCGGAAGGAAACACCAUGAUUAAUAUUUUAUGAAUCAAACUUUGCAUAUUCAAAAGGAUUUGAUUUAAUUUUGGUGGAUUGAUUUGCUUUGAAAAUUAAGUAAUUUGAUUGAAAAUAAUUUCAUAUUUUUAUUUAUGAAAUAUUCUUUUUUAUAUGUGAGACAUAUAUUUCUAAGGAUGUGAGUCUAAAUUAUUAUUUGUGAAAAUCUAUUUUAUAGAAGUGAAUUAUUCUAUCAAAGUGUUGUAAUUGUGAAAUUACUUUAGACUCAAUUUUGUUGAUCAUAUCACCAAAUAUUAAGUAUAUGAAUUUUUAAUUAUUGUAUAAAUUGUGUGUUGCCUUGUUAUUUUUAUGCUCAAUUAUGGAAUGUCAUAAAAGAUAAUUUUUGAGCAAUUUUGAAGGAUAUUGAAAACUAUUAUCCUUGUAUUUUAUUGAUGUACUAUUAGAGUCUUUCUUUUGCUUUAUUGGUUGUUAUUGAAUUAUAAGCCAAUUGAGAUGACAAUAUGCCAAGUUUUAUGGAAUUUUCUUUAAGUCAUCGAAGCUUAUUGACUCUACAACAAGGAGAAUUCAUUACACCUUUUGAGGUUAAUCAUGGUUUAGUUAAUUUAAUUUUUUUUAAUUGAAUUUGAUUACACUUGUUCCCUUAUUAUAUAAGGGAUGUGCAUAUCUUAUUAGUGUAAUAUUAAUUGACAUGACCAUUGUGUGAUAGAGAAUAUAGUUGAAUAUUUGUUUAAAUAUUUUAAAGUCUUGGAUUGAUAAUCUAACUAUCAUUCUUUAUCAAGUGGGAGAAUCUUACAUGUGAAUUAUCUAGAAAUGAAAAACAAAUAUUAUUUGUUGAUGAAUAUUCAACUCUUUUGUUUGUUAUGGAGACUCACAUUGACGAUAUUAUAGUCUUUUCUCAAAUAUAAUUUUGUGACUCUUUUGUCUUUUAUCCUCAAUGGUGGUGAAAUUCAAGUCUCCGAUAUUUCCGCUGCGUAGGUAGUUGAUUUAAAUUACUACUUGUUAAUUAUGAUUUUAGCGGUAAUAGUUACUUUUCUAAUAUAUAGCACAUAAUUAUAUGUUGACACUUCUUUUAUGUGUUGUUAAUGUAUUAUUCUACCGCAUUAUAUCAAACAAAAUUAUGAUGAAUGCAAAUUGAAACGAUAUUGACCAGUUUAGAUGCAUUUAAAUUAUGUAUAUUUUUUCUGUCUGUAUUUUGACAAGAGUUAUUGAUUCCUAUGCAAAAGAUUUUCAUGCAUUGAUAUAAGCCGUUACCAUCAAAGUGGAACCGCCUUUAUUGAUUGAUUGAUGAAAUUUCUUUUUGUAGCUUGAGGAAUGUUUUUAAUCGUAACAUGUAGUUUCUAGUCCAAAGGUGGUUAUUGUAUUUUACAAUUAAAAAUCUAUUUGGGAUAAAGUUAUUGGAAAAUGUUUUGAAGCAAGGAACUUGCCUGUCCAAAGGUGACAAUUUCCCAAAUUCAAUACAUGCUCAUUGAUUAACUUAUCUGAGGCUUUGACUUGGGUUUUAACCUUAGUUUGUACAUUCUGUCCAAAGGUAAUUGUACUAUUGUAUUGGCCUCAUUGUGAUAGCUUGUUUAUUUGAGCUAUAUCUUGUCAAUUGAUAUAUUUUAAUGCUUUCAUGUUUUGUCUCGUAUAUUUCCUCAAUGGAUAAUUGUUAUGCUUUUAUUAUGCAUGCUCAUUAAUUAACUUAUGUGAGAUGGAGUUAUUGGAGUAUAUGUUGAACCAAAGAAUUUGUGUGCCUAAGGUUUUGACCUUAGUUUGUGCAUUCUUCCCAAAGGUGAUUGUACAAUUGUAUUGGCCUCGUUAUAAUAGCUUGUUUAUUUUAAGCUAUAUCUUGUCUUAUGACAUAUUUUAAUUCAUCCAUUUUUUUCUCCGUAUCAAUGAAUGAUUGUUUGCUUCCAUCGAGAUCUUAAACGAGUCAAACCGUAAGAAAUGGAAGUAAGAUUUGGAGUUGCCUCUAGGAGAAGUACAUGAACUGAAAUAACCUUUUGGUAAGUGGGAGAUGACUCAUGUAACACCCCAUUUUUCCAACUUAAAAAUUUCAUAAACAUUUAUCAGAGUAAUCAACACAUAAACAGAAUGCUACACUUCUAAAAAUCAUAAAUGAGAUAAUUAACUAAUUAUCUUUCCUAAAAUCUUCAACAUAUUAAUUCCAAAACUUUGCAGCGGAUUAAAUUUAUCAACAUAAAUAAGUUUUGGCACGCAUGUCUCAUCAAACAUCUCAUAACUAUUCAGUUAAACAACUUAAUUAAUCAAUAUCAUAAAUCAAAUACGUAAGGAACAGAAAAUAGCCACAAAAGAUCUCAUCUCGUUACGUAUCAGAACAACCUAAGGACUCAGUGAGGGAUAGCCACUCACGACAGCAACACCAGCUACUUAAACUUGAUCACCUGUAGGUUACUCAUACGAAGAGCAACAUUUCCAAGCAGAAGGGGUGAGAUUUCACAAAACAAUAAUAUUAAACAUAUAAUUCAACAAUUAUAUUUAACAACAUGAAAACAUCUUAAUAUCAUCAUAUAAUAAUAUAUAUCACAUAUCACUUCAUUAAAAGUUCAUAAAAGAAUCACAACAUAACAUCUUGGAAACUUAACAACUUUGACUCGACAAAUGCGACUCCAACUCGACUAUGCAACUUAAGCCUCUUACAUGCAUGUGGUACCAAUCUAGGGCAUCAAGACCUCAAUGUAAUAAGUAUUAAUAUACUUCCAGGGCAUCAAGUACUCAACUUAGUUGAGCUAAAGCUCCAGGGCAUCAAGCCCCCAACAAUGAAUGCUAAUCCAUGGACACAACAACUUAACCUCUUAUAAACAACAACCUCUUAUAUAUAUCCAAUAAUUUGGAACAUAUCAUCUUUCAACUUAGACCGACUCAUGCAGCUUUUUUAAAUAACAAACAACAACAUAGGCAGUAUGCAAAUCAUCAUGAUAUAACAAUAUCGAAUGCAAGUCAUCAACAUCUCAAACAUCGAACAUAAUUCAUGUAAUGUAUAUACAAUUAUAUGACAUUAACAACAACAUUAGAUUAUAUAAUUCAGGCUUACUGAAACAACAACAGCAAGAUAAACAACUUAGUUUCUUACCUCUAAGAUCAACUCACAUCAACUCGUGCGACAGAGAUCGCAUUUAACCUAACAAGGCAUUUUGGAACUAGGUAACUCGCGAGGCGAGAGCCUCUACUCGCUAUGGCGAGUUCAGGUGUAACUCACAAAAAUUCAUUCUUAAACUAUUCCAGGUUCAAUCUCAGUCUAGGAUCUUUCCUAAUCAUUAUUACACAUGUUCAGGCACUCAAAAACAUCUAAGAUUCAACUUAAGGAUCAAAACUACGAAAUCAUGUUGACUGUCUGGUCACACUCGCUAGGCGAGUGAAUCUGCUCGCUAUGGCGAGCUGCAAGGUGCAACUCGCAAGGCGGGUAAAAGUUGCUCGCGAGGCGAGCGAUGAAGUUCAUCACUCGCUAUGGCGAGGAUCAUCACUCGGGAGGCGAGCGAUGAAUGUUGGCUCGGGCAGAAGUGCAGUUUUUACGAAAAUUCACCCAUUCACAUGGUUUUAAGCCUAACAUUGAUUCCUGUAAUCAUAUUAUGACUUAUCUAAGGUAUGUAAACAAAUUCUACAUCAAUCUAAAAACAUUUCAUCCUUUAAUUCUCAAUUUCUCUCAUUAACCCUAAUUUUCCAACUUCUCUAAUUCAAUCCUACACUUGCUAAAUACAAUCAUAUGAGUUAUAUAGAAUAAUAGAAUUGAAUGAUAGUCUCACCCUUACCUUAGAGUUCAAAAUCGCAGCUUCUAGGUCACUUUCUCUUCUCUUGGCUUUUUCUCCCUUUUUUCCCAUAAGCUGAUCGUACGUACUGUUUUUCUAAACUAGGUCUCUCCUAUUUAUAUCUCCUCUAUCUAUUUUAUCUUAUUUCUCUUUCUCCCCCAAAACUCUCUAAGAUCUCAAAACAACCCAUCAACUCAAUAUUUAUUUUAUUUUCAAAUCUUAUUUUAUUAAACAAUAAAAUAAGUCACAACUCCUCAUAAAAUCACAUAAAUCACACCAAUCAUAUAAAUCAUCUAAAAUCACACAAAUCAUAUAAAUAUAUUCUAAACUCCUCUUAAUAAAUUCUAGACUCAAUUAAAUAAUUAAAUAAUUCAAAGAGGGCGUUACAACUCACAAGUUAAAGUACCUUACCAUAUUGGUCUCCAUGUGUCUAAUAAAAGUUAUUGGACGUAAAAAUCUGACAAUGUUGUAAUUUAGGAGUAACUGUGAAGUCACAGGGAGAUGUCAACUUAAUUUCAGUUUAAUAUGAUCAAGGAGUAAUUGUGAAGUCAGUGGGAGAUGUCACCAUAAUUUAACAUUCUAGUUUUGAACUUGUUUUGAAAAAUAUAUUUCAUAUACCUUUAUUUAGCAUGAAACUUGUUUGUGUUACCUUGUUGGAGCAACUUUGUUUUAGUUUUACUAGGAGGUAGAAAACUAAGUUUGAGAUUAAACUCACAUAACCUUUCUUCAUCCUUUGUUCAUCUAUAUAAAUGGUCUCUGCUAUAUGGUUAAUGACUCCCUGGAUCUUUUGUUGAUGAUUUAUAUAAUUUUUCUUUGACUUCACAUAACCUUGUUUUGUCUUUUGUUGUCAAAACUGUUGUUGCUAUAAGGUCUAAUGUUGAGGAAUACAUCCUUUAAUUCAUGGCAUAAGCAUUUGGAUCAUAUUUAUUGGGGAGAGGGAUGAGAAAUUAAUCAAAGUAAACAUUCUACCUUUCUUAAAGUUUGAUGAUCUAAGUACUUUGUGUGGAUUUGAUUAGAAGAAAAUUUACUAAAACCAAAGGUUACAACUAGCAUUUCUGAACCCUUAAAAAUUGUCGAAAUUGAAAUUAGUGGCUCCUAACACCUAUAAUCUAUGGUAAUAAAUUAUUAAUUACAUUAAUUGGCUCCCUAACUUUGAUGUUAAUUAUUCUUUUAACCAAAUGACUUAGAUUUAUUGUUUUCAAGAGUCACUUUGAAUAACAUGAAUAUUAUGAAUUCUUUUGAUGCAUUUGGUUAGUGGGAGUUUGAAUUUUACAUUAUCAAUUUUGUGAUGAUGAAUUUUUCUUUCACUUAUUUUCUUUGAUAUAUUGUUGUGAAUUUUCAUUUAAUUUAAUAAUUGAUGAUGAGAUAAAUUCUUGUAUAUAUCAAAUAUCAAAUGUGAAAAAUUAGAGCUCAGUGUCGUUAGGAUCACUAUGUCGGUGAUCGACACUAUUUUGGAGAUGAGGCAUUACAUGUGAAAAAUUUGAGCUCAAUGUUGACAUGAUCUCUAUGCCGGCUGUCAACAUUAUUCUGGAGCUAAUGUAUUAUGUAUGAAAAUUAGAGCUCAGUGUUCAUAGUAUCACUAUGUCGGUGAUCAACACUAUUUUGGAGCUGACACAUUAUAUACACAUAAAAUUUAGAGCUCAGUGUCAUUGGGAUCACUAUGCCAGUGAUCGACGCUAUUUUGGAGCUGAGGCAAUGUCGUUUUCCGUGGACCACAUAAUUUCUCUGGCUUUAACGCAUUUGAGAAAAAUCACAUAAUUUCUUUGGCUUUAAGGCAUUUGAGAGAAAUCACACAAUUUCUCUGGCUUUAAAGCAUUGAGAGAAAUUGAGGACCAACAAUGAAAAUGAUAGUAUGGUCGAUGAUCACGUUGACAUAUCAUUUCUUGCUAAACUCUACACAGAUGACUAGUUGACGGAAUUGGUGAUAUUUGUAACCAUGGAAGGUAUUGUAUCAAUUAAGGAUAUAACUACCGCCAUGAUUCGAAAUCAUUCAGUUCUUAGUUGGACGGAGUCUUUAUUAAGUGUUGCAUCAUGGGAUCAUGUAGUGGCCACGUUAGGAAGUUUGUUAUCAGUCCGAAAGUCGUUUUCAAAAAUAUUUUUAUUUUAUUUUUUUAUUUUAAAUACAUAAUUGAUUUUGCCCAAGUUGGAGAAUGUUAGAAUUUCUUCUAAUAUUUUGUGGGAUGCAAUCAAUUGUUGGUUUUGGUUUUAAUGAAAACGGACUGAUGUUGUGAUCCAUUUGAUGAUGCUUAGGCCCUAAUAAAAGUGAUCAAUAAAUAAUGGGCUUUUGAGCACUUAAUAUGAUUUGUGUAGAAACAUAAUGUAGGCCUAGACACUAGGCCCAUGAUGGGCGGUACCUAGGGUUGCACGGUUAUAAAUAGAGAGGCUAGGUCCCCUUUGCCAUCACUCUGACUAUUAUGCUCAUUAGUGGUUUGCCCCAUUGAAAUCCCUAAUUAAGUUUGGAGUAUGUGAAAGGCAAAGAAAGACUUUGUCUUCAAUCCCGGCGAAUCCGGUCACCAUGAUUUCCAAGUAAGUGUGUUCUAAUUUCAUAUAAUAACUCGAUCUUGAUGAUUUAAUUUUUACACAAAGGUCAUUCCAUUCAAUUUUAUGCAUUCUAAAAAAAGCACUUUUUUUGAUUAGUACUUAAUUGAUAUUACGUUUGGCCUACCUUCUCCUAUAAAUGUAGAGAAGUGGAAAAAAAAGUCGGGUCAAACGUUACCUUAAUUUCAGAGUUUUUUCCCUUCUAAUAAGGGCAUCUGUUAUGCAAAAGAGGAGUAUGCUUGAAGUUUAUGAAGUAAUGCAUGUGCAUGUGAUGAUAAUUUAUGUAUUCUUAUUAUGGAAAAAUUUACCCAUAGGAUAAUACCUUGAACUUCGAAUUUCUAUGUGCCAUUGUUGGUUUGAACUUAGAAUUUCUCUGUGCCAUUCUUUAGGGUUAUUUUUUUUGUAUUAGAAUUAAAUGUUGAUGUAUGGUUUUCUGUAUGUUGCUUGGAAAUUAGACCAACUCGCACCUCAAAGCCUUUGAUAGAAGCUUCGGUGUUCUUUUGAUAAUUUAUGGACAUUUGGAUGAACUGUUUGAGUGUGUCUUCAAUCUUCUGUGUUAUAUUCACUUAAGGAUUUUGCUGAUUCGGUAAACUUUGGUAAUAUGGUACUUGCUUUUGAGAAUUGUUGUUUCUCCGUUGAAAGUUAUUACCGUAUUGAUUUUGACUCUAGUAUGGAGACUGAUUAUGUUCGUAUUGAUUGUUAAUGUAGUUCACGUAUUCUCAGGCGGACAAUAUCUGGUUUGAUGUGGUCUUUCACAUAUCUUGCAUUUCAAUACUUUCUUAUCUUGCUCCUCUCGAAUGCUUUUUAGUUACUAGGGAAUUUUUACAAUUUUCUUGAUUAGUUCUUUCAUGAUGUUGGUUAGAAGUUUGCUUUGUGCGAGCAGACCGUCGUUAGUCUUGAGCUCUAAAAGGCCGACCAUCUUUGUAUGAUGUCCUUAGUACGUUGUACUUUGACCGAUCAUUGAUGGCCAUAGAUUCUAUGAUUUUGAUGGCAUUAGUGGAGCUUUUAGACAUGAGUGCACUUCAUGCUGUUUCAUCAAGCAUAAGUUUAUAUUGCUGCUGAAGGCCGUAUUUGACUGAAAAUUUGAAUAUAAGUGAUAUCAUCGAAUUCGUAUGUGAAGCAUAGAUUUGAAUCGUUUCCAUGCCUCGCAUAAUGCUUCAUUGAAACCUUGGGUGAAAACAACGAUUGUUGUCUUAGCAUCAUGAAAUUUACUAUACGGGAAGAAUCUUUUGAUGAAUUUUUUGUCCAACGUGUUCCAAUUUGUCAAUGUUGUUUCUGAUUGGUCCAGAUACCAAUCUUUGGCAUGUCCAAUGUGAGAAAGAUGGAAUAGCCUUAGGUAUAGAUUCUCUUCUUCGAUGUCCAACGCUCCUAGGCUUUCGGCAAUUUCAUAAAAUUUAACUAGGUGGUUGAUGGUGUCUUCAUGGUCCAUUAACGAGUGGAUUUGAGUGAAUCAUUUAGAUAACUCCUGUUUUGAUAUCCAUCUACCGCUGGUUGUUUCAGGAUUGGUUGAUUGAGUGGACGUCCUUAAACUAUCGUUGUUCAUAUAUGGUGUUGGUGUUUCUUUGUUGUUGGCCAUAUUUGUUGUUGAUUGUUGAAUAGAUUUUCUUCUUUUUGUUGUUUGGCGUCUGUUUUUCCUUCCAGUCCUUUCGAUCUCGAGAUCAUAAAGCAAUUGACCUUCGCGUGAUUUUCCUCAUAUAUAAAGCAAUCAAACAACUAUACCAAGAAUUAAUAGUCAAGUGUGUUAUAGAAAUUUGCAAAUAAACAAAAAUUAAAAGUAAAACAAAUUAAAAUAUUCAAAGGUUUUGACCUAUUUGCUGGGCGAACUAGCUUUUCCUCGCAAAUGAAGCAGGACAGAGAAAAAUCUAUACAAAUUUAGAAAAAAAAAAGUGCAAACAAGUGAAAUCAAAUAUAAUUUCACACAGUCCCUGCCAACAUCGUCAUUUGAUGAAGAGGAUUUAGCUUAUCCUCGUAUAACAGUAAGUAUUAUGCCAGUUUUAUCAAAAAUAAAAUAUCAAACAAUAGAGGUCGCACAUAUCUUGAUUAGCUUGAAUUCACAUAAAUUCUAAACAAAUUUCUAUUAAUUUUUUUUUUUGAUAAUGUGAUUAAAAGUAAGAUAUUUCAAAAUAGAGAAAGUUGUGCUGGGUUUAGAUUUUGAUAGCUAUUCAUCUUAUGUUUCCUCUUAAUCGAUCUUAUGCUUUAAAUAUAACUCCACCUGUCACUCAAAAUACGUCUCCUUUCUUGGCUAACGAUGCGAGUGUAACGCCCUAGUCGUUAUUUUAUUUAUUUUUGAUUUAUUUAGAGUCUUUUAUAUGAUUUUAAAUAAUAUUUGUUGAUUAUGUGGUGUGUAUUAUUUUAUUAUAUAGUUUAUUUUAAUAUUAAUUAGAAAUUAUGUGAUAAUAUUAAUAUUAUUUUGGAGGUUGGGUAGUUAAUUAGGAAUUAAUAGAAUUAAGGGGGAGUAAAUGAAAUAAAGGGGAGUUAUAUUUUGGGGAGUUAGGAAAAGAAAGGUCAGAAACAUUUUUACGUGAAAGCAAAACUUUUGGGAGAAAAGGGAGAGAAGAGCAAGUAGAGCCAAAGAACCCGAAUUGCUGUGCAUUUUUUCUUCUGAAUUAAGGUAAGUGUGAGGUUUGCUUCAGUAGUAUAGAUGUCUGAUUCUGAUUUUGAGUUUAACAAGUUUUGGUAGGAAUUAGGGAUUUUAGGUUAUUGAUGAAUUAUUGAGUUUUGGGUGUAGAGAUUGCUGUUCUGAUGUUAGAAUUAGGUUCUGGUUGCAUACAUCACUUAGUUUUGCAUCUGUAAACUAAUUUGGGGAGUGAAUUGGAGGAAAAUGGGAUUUUGGGGAAAAACCUGCAUUCUGCCCGUGCUGACAUUCAUCGCUCGCCCCAGCGAAUAGCUAGUCUCGCCUCGCGAGUGAACAACUUCAUAGCCCGCUUCGCGAGCAGAACCACUUGCCAUGGCGAGCAAGUGCCUGAGAGAUCAUGAUUUUUGAAUUGUUGUUAUAAGCUGUAAUAUGGAUAGUUUUAAGUGCCUAGAUGAUUUUAGAGAGGACUGGGACAAUUUUCAGAUUAAAAAGAUGAAUAGGGAGCUUAAAAAUGAAGAUUUAGUGAGAAAAAUGUCAAAACUCUUGAGAGCACCUUUUUUCUCAUUCGCCUUGAGUUCGCCACGGCGAGCAACCCAAUCCUUGAGUUCGCCAUAGCGAGUAGAUGUACUCGCGAGGCGAGUUACCUAGAUUUUGAGUUGUUUAUUCUGUUUUGAAUGAUCUUGAUGUUUAAGCAUGAUUAGGAUUAAUUGUGUAUUUUUCUGGAAUUGUUGGAUUGAAUUAUACUAAUCUGUUGUUGAUUGUGAUGUAUGUUUUUAUUUAAUUAAAUCAUACAUGUUGUUGAAUUGUGGGUUGUGAGUUAUAUACAUAUAUAUGCAUUUGUCGAGUUGUAUGUAGAUAUACACAAGUGGAGUUAGUUGCAUAAGCAUAUAAAGCGGGAGGGCUCUUGCCCUGGAACGCCUUGUCGUUCAAAGCGGGAGGACUCAUGUCCUGGAACACUUAUUGUUCAAAGCAGUGAGGGCUUAUGCCCUGAUGAAUGCUUUAACCAUUCAAUAUCCGGUGAGGGCCACUGCCCUGUAAAUUGGUACCACAUGCAUGUGCAUUGUCGAGGAGUCUUAGUGGUGUUGUCGAGUAGUUGCAUGAGUCGUGUUAUUGGUUGUGAUUACCAUUGUUGUUGAUGUUGCUGUUUAUGAAAUAUAUGUUCAUAAUGAAUAACUAUUAUUAUCUUAGGGUGUUAGAUUCAAUUGAUGAAUUUGAUAUCUAUACUUUUUGUUGUGAAUCUCACCCCUUCUGCUUGAAAAUGUUGCCCUUCCUAUGGGUAACUUGCAGGUGAUCCUGAGUAGUAGGUGGUGGCUCAAUGUCUAGGGCUCUGAUACGUACGGGAUGAGAUUUAUUUGCUUAUUUUCAUUCCUAUGUAUCAAUUUUUGGAACAUGUUGAUGUAGCCCUUUAUUUGGUUGUUGAAGUAAUUGAUGAGGCUUUUAUGCCAAGAUUAUUAUUGGAGAAUUAAUAUGUUGGAUGUUGUUGUUAUUUAAAUGUUGAAAAUAUUCCGCUGCAAGGUUUUGGUGAAACUAUUAAGUUGUUGUUUUAUUAAAUAGUUUUAUAUUCUAUUUAAGAAAUUUUGAAAAGUAGUGUGACAUGCCCGUUUGAGAUAUACUCGGAUGCUAGUUUAUACACUGACUUUCGAUGCUUGGUGGAAAAAUAACUGGUUGUUCAAAUGGAAUACAUGCGGAUAGUUAUACUUGAAUAUACACAUAUUCAAUAUUCCUAACGCUAUAGCACCUAUGCAUAGUUUAAACUAGGUGCCUUAAAUAAUAAGGCAUGUCACUGAUGUAGGUUAUAUCAAAAGAUAAUUUGCGGAACAUUGCAUCGUCAAUAUUCCUAACGCUAUAGCACCUAUGCAUAGUUUAAACUAGGUGCCUUAAAUAAUAAGGCAUGUCACUGAUGUAGGUUAUAUCAAAAGAUAAUUUGCGGAACAUUGCAUCGUCAACAAAAUCUUUAAGAAUGGAUUUAAACUAAAUAUUAAAUUGAAUGCAUAAAUCAUGUAUAACCAGCCAGAUUAAGAGUACUACAUGUAUAACCAGCCUGAUUAAGAGUAAUACAUAGAAUUCUAACUAUUCACGUUUAAUUCCAACACAAAAUAGAGUUUAGUCACUCAAGGAGAGCAUAACUAACAAGGGAAGGUCGGUAAGUGUUGGAGAAGUAUCAACAAGCUUGAAUCAAAGACUUCUGCUAAAGCCUUCCUCUUUUUGUUAUCUCUUUUUAUUUUUUGUGUAAAUUAAAAGUGAUAAAAACUAAAAGGUUUAUUUGAUCCAUUGAUCCUUUAAAUAAUUUUAAGUUUUCAUUUUGGUCCCAUAUUUAAUAAAACUUAUGUUUUAGUCCCUCACUUUUUACUCCGUUUGCCAAAUAAAUCCCAUCCGUCAAAACAAUUGGUUUUCCGUUAGUAUGAUUCAAUGUGGCAAAAACUUCAUCUUCUUCAUCUAUCAUGUUCAUAAAUUCAUAAAAAAUUCAUUCCAAUCCAGAAAAGAAAAAAAAAACCAGAAAAAAAAAUUAAAACUAAAAAAAAAAAUUGGAUCUAUUUCUUCUUUCCACUCACCACAACAAUACAGCAACACAAAACCCAAUUGAGUUUAUCUUCUUCCCUAUGCUUUCCUUUCUUCUGUUAAAAUUGAAUUUGCUUUACUGUCUAAGUUACUAGUAUUUGUUUUGACUUUGCUUUGCUGUCAUAGUUACUAGUAUUUGUUUCUAUUUUAAGUUAAUAAUCCCUACUUCUUAGGACUUAUUAGUGGGACUUAGUGAGUUUUCUCCACAUUCCACGUUUCUGUUAGUGGACUGAGUUAGUGGAGUAACUUAAUUUAUUUUCUUUCUUUGUAAGGCUUUAUAUAAGCUACUAUUGCAGUUGAAUAAAACAAGAGAGCAUUCCCUUUAAUUUUCUGUUCAACAUCUUCUUCGUUUCCAUCUUUGUUUUUUCCUUAUUUUUAUGUUUUUUCUUAUUCUUGGUUUGUUCCUAAUUGAGUUCGAUUGACCCAGAGAGUGUUAAAUCUCAAAGAAAUCCAAUUCCUUUUUCUUAUAUCUUUGAUUCUAACUCAAAGGAAGUGGAUUCAUACUCAUUUUUCAUACGAUAUGUUUGAAUGGUUCAAUUUAUGCAACUUCAAGUUUUAAUUCCAAUUUAUUCACAUUUGUUUUUGUUCAUAAACGAUUUUGUUUUCAAGUUUUUUAUACCCAUUUUCCAGAUUAUGGAUUUGUUGGUUUAAUUUUUGUAUUCAAGUUUGCAAUUUCAGUUUGUUUAAUUUUUGUUUUCAAGUUUGCGAUGCCAGUAUAGAUUUCCCUUUUCAAGUUUUUUUUUCUUUCAAGCUUAUGCAUUUGUUGAUGAAUGAAUGAAAGAAAGGAAAUGAAAAUUCUUCUUUGUGAGAAUGAAUGAAUGAAAGAAUAAGAAAUUUAGAGAUGGAUCCAUGGCAGUGUGUUUGUUGAGAAGAAUGAAUGUUGUUCGUGUUUGUUGUUUGUUGAGUUGAUGGCCGUGAUGGAGGAAUAUUGUUUUUUUUGAUGAAUUUUGAUUUUGACAAUUUACAAAAGAAGAAUGAAUGUUGUUCGUGUUUGUUGUUUGUUGAGUUGAUGGCCGUGAUGGAGGAAUAUUGUUUUUUUUGAUGAAUUUUGAUUUUGACAAUUUACAAAAUAAAUCAAUAAAUGCUAUGGAAAAUAACUAUAAUUUUUGACAUUUAUCAUCUCCAUGGACGGGCAUAUGAGGUAUUUAAGGUGGAUUCUGCCAUUUCAACUGGAUUUUUUUUCAUACACAAGAGACAAUAAUUAAACCUCAUACCAUAUGUUUAAGGAGUCUAAAUCCCUUACUAUUUGAUCAAUCCAUUGUUUACAUAGUAUAGCUUAUUAUUUUUAUUUUUAUUUUGGUCUAAUAAUAAUUAAAUGUGGAGAAGUAGCAUGUCUGGGGUUCGAACCGUGGCCUCUGCAUAAAUUAUGCAAUGUUCCUGUAAAUUGAACUAAGCUCACGGGACCAAGUAUAGCUUAUUAUUAUUCGAAAGAAUACAGCCUCCAGACACUAAAGACUUCGAAUAUUUUUUAUUUAUAUUUUGGUACAAAGACUUCGAUUAUUUUUUUACGGCUUAAUUGCACUUUUGGACCCCUCCCUAUCUUUUCAAAAGUUGCGGUUAUGGACCCCUAACUAAUUUAAAUACAAAACAACCCCCUAUGUUUUGAUUCUUUGGCAGUUUUGGACCCCCAAGGCAAAAAAAAAAAAAAAAAUUGACACGUGGCACCUCACUUAGGGUGCCACGUCAGCGUGGACCGAGUCAACAAUGGACUAGGGGUCCAAAACUGCCAAAGAAUCAAAACAUAUGGGGUUGUUUUGUAUUUAAAUUAGUUAGGGGUCCAUAACCGCAACUUUUGGAAAGAUAAGGGUCCAAAAGUGCAAUUAAGCCUUUUUUUACUGAAACUAUGGAAAUUAAGUGAAAGCAUUCUAUCAAAAUAUAAAAAGAAGUGAAAGCAAUAAAUCAUUCCUUUUAAAUUCUAUAAUAUUGAGACACAGCAUGUGCACUCCAUUAGUGUUAAUUUAUAUGAUGUUUGAUUGCAUAUGCACUUACAUCACCAUGUAUAUACACUUUAUUACGUAUGUAACACUAAAAUAACGCACAAAGAGAAGACAAGUUUUGCUUCUUAAAACAUCCUAAAAUUGUGCAGCACCCUUAUAUAUAGAGAACUACAACGUUUGAGUUAAACAUCUAUUGUAGUCCAUUCCAAUGGCAAAAACAAUUCACAUAGCUGUUAUUCCAAGUCCUGGUUUUAGCCACUUAGUCCCAAUAGUUGAAUUCACCAAAAGAUUAGUCACAAACCACCCAAAUUUUCAUGUCACUUGCAUCAUUCCUUCACUUGGUUCACCACCAGAUUCAUCAAAAUCAUACCUUGAAACAAUUCCACCAAACAUAAACUCAAUUUUUCUUCCACCAAUCAACAAACAAGACUUACCUCAAGGAGUACACCCAGGAGUUCUAAUUCAACUCACAGUUACACACUCUCUACCAUCAAUUCAUCAAGCCUUAGAAUCCUUAACUUCAAAAACACCAUUAGUUGCUAUAAUUGCUGAUACUUUUGCAUUUGAAGCACUAGAUUUUGCAAAAGAGUUCAAUUCUUUGUCUUACCUUUACUUUCCUUGUUCAUCUUUUGUACUUUCACUUCUUUUACAUUUGCCAAAACUUGAUGAAGAGUUUUCAUGUGAAUACAAAGAUUUACAAGAACCUAUAAAGUUACAAGGGUGUGUACCAAUCAAUGGUAUUGAUCUUCCAGCAGCAACUAAAGAUAGAUCAAAUGAAGGUUACAAAAUGUAUAUUCAACGUGCAAAAAGUAUGUAUUUUGUUGAUGGAAUCUUGAUCAAUAGCUUCAUUGAAUUGGAAUCAAGUGCUAUAAAAGCAUUGGAACUAAAGGGUUAUGGAAAAAUUGAUUUUUUUCCUGUUGGACCCAUUACACAAACAGGGUUAAGUAACAAUGAUGUUGGUGAUGAACUUGAAUGUUUGAAAUGGUUGAAAAACCAACCACAAAAUUCAGUUUUGUAUGUUUCUUUUGGAAGUGGUGGAACACUUUCUCAAACACAAAUCAAUGAGCUAGCUUUUGGUUUGGAAUUGAGUGGUCAAAGAUUCAUUUGGGUAUUGAGAGCACCAAGUGAUUCAGUUAGUGCUGCUUAUCUUGAAGCUACAAAUGAAGAUCCACUGAAAUUUUUACCUAAAGGGUUUUUGGAAAGAACAAAAGAAAAAGGUUUGAUUUUACCAUCAUGGGCACCACAAGUUCAAAUACUUAAGGAAAAGUCAGUUGGUGGAUUUUUAAGUCAUUGUGGAUGGAAUUCAGUUUUGGAGAGUAUGCAAGAGGGGGUGCCAAUAGUAGCUUGGCCUUUAUUUGCAGAACAAGCAAUGAAUGCAGUUAUGUUAAGUAAUGAUCUUAAAGUGGCCAUAAGGUUGAAAUUUGAAGAUGAUGAGAUUGUAGAAAAGGAUAAAAUUGCAAAUGUGAUUAAGUGUUUGAUGGAAGGGGAAGAAGGUAAGGCAAUGCGUGAUAGAAUGAAGAGUUUAAGAGAUUAUGCUACUAAGGCAUUGAAUGUCAAAGAUGGUUCUUCAAUUCAAACUCUCUCACACUUGGCUAGUCAAAUGGAAAUGAUUGGUGGGAUUUAGGAAAAAAAAUAUUUUUCUUAUUCUAUAAAGUUAUUUUGAUUUUGAUGUUCCUAGUAAGGUGUGUAUUGUUUGUUUCCUCAAUUUGCUUUUUCAUUUUUGUGGUCAUUGUAUUGCAUGGUUGUCACAAUCAAGUUUCAUAUUCAAUGUGUAAAGAAGGACAAAAUGGUUGUCAAUUGGAAAUGAAUUUUUUUCCCUCCACACAAUUAGAUUAUUUCAGUAAUGUUAUAAAUUGUGGUCUUUGCAAUAACUAUAAUUUUUGCCAUAUAUCAUCCGCAUUUAUAACCAACUGAAUAGAACAGAUAACGAAAUUAUUUAAAGCAAUCUACUUAACUUUAUAUUCAACAUUUUUGACAUCAAACUUCUUGAGUUAGAGCACAUGCAUAAUAGAAUACCAGCUUCAGUUCUAUUGACAAAUCAAACCUAAAGAGAACAUGUACAUGCAUAAUUUCAAUUCAUCAUAAUUUCUAGGAAAAGAUAUUCCACCUAUACUUACUUAUAGCUUAAUUUAAUCUUUCGAAUUCAUACAUGGUGGUCAAGUUUCACGUGCACUUAUCAAAUAGCCAAAAAAGAGAAUCACAAAUAUGCACAAACUUUACAAACUCAACUUUGCAUAAAAAAUUUAAUUCAAAUUUCAUGGCCACGACAAUUCAAUUGAAGAACGUAAACUGUUGUGAAUUCGAUCAAAAAUCACACCAAUAAAAAGUAAAGAUGUGUUGAGCAAAGGAAGUGGUAAUCAAUGAGUAAAAUAUCCUCAAGCAAUAACAACAAAACAGUUAUAAAACUAAGUGUAAAGCAACACCACAAGCAUAUAAUUAAAGCAACAAGAUAAGAAAGCAAGAAAGAAAACAAACAACCAAGAUGGUAACCUAGUUCGGUCCAAUAUGACCUACUUUAGGGGAGAAAGAAGCUAUCCAAUUCACUAAGAUGAAAGUGAUACAAAUAGGUUAAUUACAAGAAAUUUUCUUAGAAGCUCACAAAAAACAAGAUCUAAUUUCUACCCAUUUUCAUGUCAGACACACUCACAAUGAAUCCUAAGAGAAAACACAAAAUGAUGCCUUUUUUAUCCUUCUAAUGGUGACAUCUCACUACCCAAGGUGAUUACAAUUUUUUCCAACCCAAUAGAACCUCACUAUAAAGACGCUCAACCUUAAAGUUACCUCCAUUGUAAUCUCAAGUUUCUCUCUCUUAAAGAUCUUCUUCAAAAAAAUGAAUUGAUACGCUUAAACAGUAACCUGUAACUGUCAAAAUCGUGUCACGAUUGGCAAUAUCGUGUCACAAUUCGUAACGUAUGACCCAAGGUACAACAACCUUAUCCACAAAUCGUGUCACAAUGGCUCAAAAUCGUGUCGACAUUUUACACUAGAAAAACCAUGCUUUCUGCCAACCAAAUCGUGUCACGUGAUGAGUAAUUUAUUGCUUACUUUUAUAUGCUUUUUAGUUUAGUUUUAUUUAGAUUUUAUUUUAUUUUAUAUUAGUAUUAUUUCCUUUUUAGGAUAGUUUACUACAAAUUGCAUUUUAUUUUAUUUCAGGAAUGAGUAUUGGAUGGAUUGAGUCUUGGAGCAAAAGAAAGGGACUUGGAGCUGAUUGGAUGCAAAAAUAUGAACAUUGAGAGACAAAAAUAUGUCUCCCCAAAGUCAGAAGCUUGGCACGGCCCGUGCUAGCAUUGGCACAGCCGUGCCACCCUCGAGAGUGCUUUUUGCUGCUUUUUGCUUAGAUUUUAAGCUACUCUAUUUUUAGCCUGAAUGUAAUUGCUUAGAUUUUAAGUCGAAUGAAUGCUAUAAACAGAGUAGCCAUCCAUCACAAAUAUUCAUCUUUACUUGGAAUGCAAUAAGUGACAAUUGCUUUACUAAUUAAAGUUCUUUUCUUUUCCUUUAUUUUCUUGUCAUUUACCUUUAUGCUUUCUCUCUUCUCCCCCAUGUCUACGAUGAACAUGAGUGAGUAGACUUCUCCUUGUCUUGGGAUUGUUGGAUAAGUCUAAAUGACAUAAUCCUAAUCAAGCCAAGCUCUAAGCCUUAAUCUUAUGUAACCCUAAUUUCUUAUCUAAAUUCACCGCUUUAACAUGGAUCAACCAUUAUCAAACUGUGGAAACGAAAGUGGAGGGUUUGAUAAUUGUUUAUCCAUCAUUCCAAAUAUCAAUUCAUAAAAUGAAAGUGGAGCUUUGAUAUUCGAACAAGUGAAUUUAGACAAGGAUUGCAAAGGCAACGAAAUAGUCUUUGCAAUCUUUGAGACAUAUAGUUUCGAUCUUCAAGGGAACUAAUAACAAUCAAGUCAGCGAAAUAGGCUUGGUUGUUAGAGGAACCAAAAUCUAAUAGUAAUCAAGUCAGCGAAAUAGGCUUGGUUGCUAGAGGAACAUAAGAGAAACUGUCUUGAGAAAUUAGGUCUAACAUAACAUUAUAAGCUUUUAGUUUGGUUUGUGAAGGACUUGUUAUUUAGAUGAAACCAACGAUCCCAAGGCUUCGUUUAUUAUUAUUAUCUUUCAAACGCUUGAAAACCCCCAACUUACAAUUCUUUUCUCUUCUAAUCAUUUCCAAAGGUUAAUUGAAUUAAACUACUCCCUGUCGGAACGAUACUCUUUUCAUACUACUUCGGUAAGACCGUGCACUUGCGGUUUUAUCUCAUCAAGUUUUUGGCGCCGCUGCCGGGGAGUAAACUAAUUUGAUUAACUCUUUCUUUGUGAUUAGAACUCUUUUCUCUUCCUCUUCUCUUCUACUUUUUUUCUUUGUAUUACCACUAACUUCUUGGGUUCUCGAUUUCUUAUGCGAAGAAGUAAAAGUCUCGGAGAAUUUAUUCCUGAGAUCGAAAGAUAUUUGCAUAAGAAAAAGAGAGAGGCACAAAAUAAUACUGCUAUGGCUGAACGCACUCUCAAAGAGUAUGCUACUCCUUCAGUGGAAGAGCCACAAGCUAUUAUCGUGUACCCAACGGUUGAGGGUAACAACUUCGAGAUCAAGCCUGCACUACUCAAUUUGGUGCAGCAAAAUCAGUUUUCUGGAUCACCCACUGAGGAUCCAAAUCUCCAUAUUUCUUCCUUCCUUAGACUCAGUGGCACCAUAGAAGAGAACCAAGAAGCCGUAAGACUUCAUCUCUUUCCCUUUUCCUUAAGGGAUAGAGCUAGCGCUUGGUUCCAUUCCCUAGAAGUCGGUUCCAUCACUUCAUGGGACGAUAUGAGGCGAGCAUUCCUUGCCCGAUUUUUCCCCCCAUCUAAAAUCGCUAAACUAAGAGAUCAAAUCACGCGGUUCAAUCAAAAAGAUGGGGAGUCUCUCUAUGAUGCGUGAGAGCGUUUCAAGGAAAUGCUGAGACUUUGUCCCCACCAUGGCUUGGAAAAGUGGCUUAUAGUCCACAGUUUUUAUAAUGGCUUGUCAUAUACCACUAAGAUGUCUAUUGAUGCUGCUGCAGGCGGAGCUCUAAUGAACAAAAAUUAUACGGAGGCUUAUGCCUUGAUUGAAGACAUGGCUCAGAAUCACUACCAAUGGACCAACGAGAGAGCCGUCACCGCUUCUACUCCCUCUAAGAAAGAGGCAGGCAUAUACGAAGUCUCUGAAUAUAACCACCUUGCUGCUAAGGUUGAGGCAUUGACCCAAAAAUUUGAAAAACUUAAUGUUAAUGCUGUCACACCUUCUUCUACAUCCCCUCCUUGUGAAAUCUGUGGUAUAUCCGGUCAUAUCGGUGUUGAUUGUCAGUUAGGUAGUGCUGCCAAUAUUGAGCAAUUGAAUUAGGCUCAAUAUAACCAAGGAACGAGGCAAAAUCAAAAUUUUUACAAAAAUCCUCAAGGUUCCUAUGGACAAGCAGCACCACCUGGCUAUACAAACAACCAGAGAGUGGCUCAGAAAUCAAGUUUGGAAAUUUUGUUGGAAAAUUGCAUAGCUAAUCAAAAUAAAAAUCUCCAAGAACUGAAAAACCAAACAGGAUUUCUGAACGACUCUCUCCAAACUCACUACCAAGGUUGAUUCUAUCGCCACACACACCAAAAUGCUUGAGACCCAAAUCUCCCAAGUGGCCCAACAAGUGGCCACCUCUUCUCAAACACUAGGAGUCUUUCCCGGUCAACCCGAAACAAACCCCAAAGCUCAUGUCAACGCCAUUUCUUAUGGGGGUAGUAAGCUGGAAGGGACAAUUGCUAAAGCCAAAAGAAUUAAGGGAGAGAGUGCUAGGCUUUUUGGUGAGAAAGAUGAGAAACCGCUUGAUAAGAACAAGGCCCUUAACCCAUUAAGGCUUACUAAGCUCAACUUGGAGACUCAAUUCGCUAAAUUCUUAAACAUACUUAAAACGAUUUGCAUUAAGAUUCCCUUUGCUGAAGCUUUGUCUCGUAUGCCUCUACACGCCAAGUUUUUAAAAGAAAUUUUUUCAAAGAAAGAGGCUAUAGAUCACAAAGAGAUAAUAGCUUUAACUAGGGAAAGUAGUGCAAUCGUCAAGAAGCAACCCCAAAAGCUUAGAGAUCCAGGUAGUUUUGCCAUCCCUUGUGUGAUAGGGAAAGAAACCGUUGACAAAGCCUUGUGCGACUUAGGAGCUAGUGUUAGUCUGUUGCCUCUAUCCCUCUUUAAGAAGAUGGGAAUAGGAGAAUUGAAACCUACCGAGAUGACAUUAAAGUUAGCCGAUCGUUCUGUUAUCCCCAUAGUUGGAUAUGUUGAAGACAUCACCGUUAAGAUAGAAGGGGUAUAUAUCCCAACUGACUUUGUGGUUGUUGACAUCGAGGAAGACCAUGAUUGCCCUAUGAUUCUAGGAAGACCCUUCCUCGCCACUGCGGGUGCUAUAGUUGACGUUAAGAGCGGUAGGAUAGUUUUUCAAGUGAGUGAUGAUAUGGUAGGAUUUGAGUUCGAAAAUGUUAAGGAAGGUCCCGCCCUUUAUUCUUGCAAUAUGGUCAAAGAACAUGAUGUGAAAGAACGCUUUUUAACGUCAUCUACACAAUACAAUAUCUUUGACCCUUUCUAAUGAACACUUUCUUUAACGUCAAGCUAAAGACUAUAAAGAAGCGCUUCGUGGGAGGCAACCCACGCAUUUAACUGCUUUUGUUUUGUUUUGUUGUUUGUUUUUAAUUAUUUUGUAGGUAAUUAUCCGAGUAUGAUUCAAGAAAACAGAAAAUUUUGAAGCCAAUCUAUCUAGAAUCUUGGCACGGCCGUUCCAGACCUUGCCAAGCCAAAAUCAACCACACAUUCCAGGAAGUUGGCACGGCCCGUGCCAAGCUUAGCACGGCCCGUGCCAAGCUUAGCACGGCCCGUGCCAAGCUUAGCACGGCCGUGCCCGACCAUCAGGUUUGCUUAUACACAUCUUUUGGCCUUCUUCUUCCUUCACUCUCAACCACAAACAUCUCUCCACCUUCAAACUUCUCUCUAAAACCUCCAUAACCACAAAACCCUAAACCUCCAUUUCUACCCCAAAACCUCACCAAUUCACAAAAUUUCUCCACCCAAUCAAUCACAAACACCAUUCCAAUCAUAAACCCCCAUUUCGAAACAACUUUCAUCCAUCCAAACCAACAUAACCCAAAUUCGUAACCCUUCCUAACCUAACAAAAAAAAAAAAACCAGAAAUUCUUCACCAACCUCCAUAACCGAGCCCCUAAAACUCACUUAAACCUUCACCGCACCACUAAAGCAAGGUCAAGGUAAUGGCUUCAAAGAGAAGUGGAAAAGAAGUUGGAAGCUCAUCAGGGGGACCUCCUCCAAAGAAGAAAACACAAGCCAAGAAUCAUGGCAUCACCUUUAGGGACAACAAGCAAAGAGAUAGGUACAAAAUUCUAAUCUCUAAACCUUUACAUCCUUGCAGGUAUCCUGAUAACCAUGACUUGAAUAAGCUAGGACUUAAGGACAAUGUGGUUAAUCUGCUAGAAAGGUUAGGAUGGGUUGAUAUGCUGAGACCUAUGAGAGGGUAUGAGAAUUUCACCUAUGAAUUUUUAAGUUCUAUUGUUUUUACGAAAGAUAGGUUGAAUUUUGAUAACCCUAACCAUAGAGUUUCUUUCCGGCUUAUGAAUAUUGAUUAUGAGAUGUCUCUUCAACACUUCUGUGAUGAGAUGGGCUUCGCAAAUGCGGGGUUCAUUCACUACUCUUGGAAUCAAGAUUUAAAGCCGGUUGACUAUCAACCCGCCGCCUUUUGGGAGCGAAUUACAGGUCUUGACCAGUUUAACACAUGUGCAAACAAAGCUAGCAACAUUCACAACCCCGUUCUUAGGUACCUUCAACGGGUUAUGGCUUGUACUAUUUGGGGAAGGAGCGAAUUAGGGAACACUAGGAGUGAUGAACUAUUCAUGCUUUGGGCUAUGCUGCACAACCACCCCGUUAACACUUGUUUUUACUUGCUUGACUACCUUUCCCAUAUAGGAAAUAGGUCCGAUAGUAGGGGAGAAAUAGUAGUUGGUGGUAUCAUAACAUACAUAGCUAGGAAACUAGGCGUGAGUGAAGACCAAGGGAUAAACAAGAUUGAGGGAAACAAUAGGCUAAACAUAGAAACCCUUAUCUCUAUGAAUUUCAUAAAACCUCGAAUCCCCUUUGUUUAUACGCUCAAGCUCAAUGUGCCAACUUUGAUAUUAUUGCCUAACCCAUCUCGGACUAACACCGAGGUGGAAGAAAAUUUGUUGUAUGUUAAUGAUGACCCACAGGUGCCCAUAGAACAGCAUAAUGAAGACGUGGAAGGUGCACACCCGCACCAAGAAGAGGAAGGUGCACAAUUGCACCAUGACCAUAAUGACGGAGAAACAAAUGAAAAUGCAAGAUGGGCAUGGAUGCAUACCGAGGUCGAGAGGAUAAGCACCGAGCAACAAAGGCAAGGUGUUGAAUUAAUGGGAAUAAGGAAUGAUGUCCAACGGGGCAACCGCAUAUCCGAAGAAAAUAACCAAAUGCUUCGGAACAUGAUGCACCACUUUCACCUCCAAGGUCCUCCAUAUGGACCUCAAUGAUAAAAAUGUGAGCUUUCCUCUUCCUCUCUUCCCUUCUUUCUCCUCCUCCUCCUCCUUCUUCUUCUUCUUCUUCUUCUUCUCGUUCCUCUCCUUCUCUUUUAUUUUUCUACCUUGAAUCAUUGAGGACAAUGCUUCUCCUAAGUGUGGGGGGAGCCUAAUAAAGUGUCUUUAGUCGUAGUGUUUCCAAACUCCCUUGAACUUUAUUCCUUUGUUUUGUUUUACUGUAAAAGGCAUGAAUAAGCAGCUUGUUUUUAUUGUUUUAUUAUGACAUAAUUUUUUGUUGUCUCUUCAAUGGUCAUUUCUUGUACAUGAAAAUGAUUUCUUGUGUUGUAAGUGUUCUUGCUAUACCCACAUCAAGUUUUAUUGUGAAAAUUCUCCAAUGAGAAAAGCACCUAGUUGCAAUCCUUGAGUAAGUGUAUGAAUAGGUAUUUUAAGGAACACGUUCUAGCUUUAAUGGUAACCUGGACCCUUAAAAAUCUUCAGAGUAAAAGUAGUAUAAGUUUGUGUGGGAAUAAUUCUAAUGUGAUGAAAUGUGUAAACCAAAAUGGGGCAGAAGAAUAUCACCAGCACGUGGAGGAAAGGAUACCCCCUCUCUGACUUCCUAAAUGUGGUGAUGACUUCUCAAACAAAUUGUGCUUAAAUUAAACCCUCUAAAAAGAGGAACUUCCUAAGUGAAGUAAACAAGUUGUAGCACUACUUAGGGUGAUCAUAGAAACUUGGAGGAAAGGAUACCCCCUCACGGACUUCCAAUGUGAAAUGAUAGACCCUAGGCAUCUACAAGCCCCCAAGUGUAUAAGUUUAUCAAAAUCUAUCUAAACUCUCCCACCUCUCUUAUAUGAAAUGAAGAAAAGAUUUUUCUCGGUCAUCUUAGUGUUAAGGUUAGAACCUAUUCCUCAUAAUAUCUAUCUUAUACAGGAGCAAGAAAAGGGUUGGACUAAACACAAACACUCACUUAAGAUUUGUUGUUGGGUUGAAAAAGUUUACAAAGAAUGCUUGAAGUUGUGAUUAGUGAACAUUGACAAUUGCUUUUCUAAUUAAAGUUCUUUUCUUUUCCUUUAUUUUUUUGUCAUUUACCUUUAUGCUUUCUCUCUUCUCCCCCAUGUCUACGAUGAACAUGAGUGAGUAGACUUCUCCUUGUCUUGGGAUUGUUGGAUAAGUCUAAAUGACAUAAUCCUAAUCAAGCCAAGCUCUAAGCCUUAAUCUUAUGUAACCCUAAUUUCUUAUCUCAAUUCACCGCUUUAACAUGGAUCAACCAUUAUCAAACUGUGGAAACGAAAGUGGAGGGUUUGAUAAUUGUUUAUCCAUCAUUCCAAAUAUCAAUUCAUAAAACGAAAGUGGAGCUUUGAUAUUCGAACAAGUGAAUUUAGACAAGGAUUGCAAAGGCAGCGAAAUAAUCUUUGCAAUCUUUGAGACAUAUAGUUUCGAUCUUCAAGGGAACUAAUAACAAUCAAGUCAGCGAAAUAGGCUUGGUUGUUAGAGGAACCAAAAUCUAAUAGUAAUCAAGUCAGCAAAAUAGGCUUGGUUGCUAGAGGAACAUAAGAGAAACUGUCUUGAGAAAUUAGGUCUAACAUAACAUUAUAAGCUUUUAGUUUGGUUUGUGAAGGACUUGUUAUUUAGAUGAAACCAACGAUCCCAAGGCUCCUUUUAUUAUUAUUAUCUUUCAAACGCUUGAAAACCCCCAACUUACAAUUCUUUUCUCUUCUAAUCAUUUCCAAAGGUUAAUUGAAUUAAACUACUCCAUGUCGGAACGAUACUCUUUUCAUACUACUUCGGUAAGACCGUGUACUUGAGGUUUUAUCUCAUCAUCACGCCACCCAUGUUGGAACAAAAUCUGUUCAACAUUACCCUUUGAGUUUUGAUGAUAACAAGUUAUUAAAAAUUAGCAAUUGGAUAUGCUAAUAUUUGUUUAAGUGUGCAGGACCAUAGACAAAACUUUAAUAUCUUUAAUUCAAGCAUAGGUUCUAGAAAAACAAAAGAGGCAAUGGAAACUACAAAAAGGAAGCUUGUGUUGCAAGAAAGCGUCUGAAGAAAAGUGAAUCUAAAGACAAGAGGUUCCGAAGAAGCUGACGUCAUCAGAAGCACUCUUCUCAUAAGCUGGUCACCAGAAGCUGACGUCAUCAGAGGUUCUGAAGAUCAUCAGAAGCUAGAAGAAUGGAAGCUUUAAAUGUUGUUCAAAUGUUUUAAUCACGCCUAUCAUUGCAGAAGUAUAGAAGCCUGAUGCAACGGCUAAUUCAGAGGAAUUUGGAAAGCAUUGGAUGCUUAUUCUUUGGAGAACGUUGGAAAAGGACAAUAGUACAAGUGUACAACCACUACCUCCACUACUCUGUUUUUUGUCUGCAAUAGUACAAGAACAACAGUUGUGACUACGCUGGUUAUUCCUCUAUACAUGGAAUGGAUUUGAAAUUGUUCCUUGAUAGUACAAUAACCAAAUCAAGCAAUAGAUCAUUGGUGAUUUGAUCAAGCUUCAAACGACUUUUUUUUUUUAUGUGUUGGCAAUCAACAACGUCUCUUUCACACCUCUAUUUAAAGGAGUGAAGACUUGAAGAUUUCAAAGAGACUCACAACAAUUUUACUAGUGCCAAAACUCUGCUGAAAUUGUUUCACAUCAAAGUUCACUUAGAAUUUAUUAACAACUUUCAUAUCUUAGAAAUUCUAGAGUAUUAAGAGUCUGUAUCAGAUUUGUAUUAUGAAAACCACUGAUUGUAUAUCAAGUGUUCAACCUCAAACAAAUUUCAUUGUAAUUCUGUUUGAUUAGAAGUCUCUUGCAGUUGUGCUUGAGCAUAUGAAGUCUCUUGAUUUAGUUCUUGAGUAUAGGAAAUCUCUUGCAGUUGUGCUUGAGUAGUUUGAAGUCUCUUUCUAGUUUUAGCAGUGAGCAGUUGUAAUCAGAUAUUACAUUUUAGUGAACUCUCCUUGGAAAUGCAAGGGGGACAAGACUACUUCCGGUUUGUGGAAGGAACCUAUAUAAUUGCUUUGUGUCUUUUUUCUCUCUCUAUCUCUCUUUGUUUUUAUCCGCUGCAUUUAGGUUCUGAACAUAUUUUUAGAAGCUGAACUCUAUCAGAUUCUGAAGUGUGAUUUCAGUUUAAGAGAAAACGAAGAAAAAUCAAACACAAUUCAAACACCCCCCCCCCCCCCCCGUGUGUUUUUCUCACCUUCAACCCAAAUCAUGUCACGAUUUGGUAGUUCCACAUAAUCACAAUUUGAAGACAAUUACAAUAUUUUUCCACUUUGACUUUAAAUAGGUGAUGAUGUCAAUUUAACCAUCAACCACCUUGCUGCUCUUUCCAUUGGGGAAUUACUCUUCAACAAACUUGAUCAAGUCUAAGCAAUGCUUGAACCUUGAUCUAGGUAAUGACUUGGUAAACACAUCCGCCGGAUUCUCUUCUAAUGCAACUUUCUCUACCACAAUCUCUUUCGAUUCAAUCAUGUCUCUUACAAAGUGCAAUUGAAUGUCAAUUGUCUUUGUCCUCUCGUGAUACACUUGAUGAUUCGCUAAGUGAAUGGAACUUUGGUUAUCACAAUGUAUCUUCACACAUGCCUGAGUAAUUCCUAACUUACCAAUCAGGUCUUUCAACCAUAUGGCCUCCUUCACCCCUUCAAGAAGGGAAAUGUACUUUGCUUGAGUUGUACAUAGUUCCACCACAGAUUGUUGAUUUGUCUUCCAACUAAUAAUCGUGCCAAAAAGAGUAAACACAAAACCCGAUAAAGAUUUUCUUGUGUCCAUGUUGCCCGCAUAGUCCGCAUCUACAUAACCCUCUAGAGCGUCUUUCUCUUGAGCUGCUCUUGUGUACUUCAAACUUCCCUUCAAAGACCCAUUCAAGAACCUCAACACCCACUUCAAAGCUUACCAAUGCACAAUACCCGGAUUUUCAAUAAUCCAACUCACAAUGCUAACCGCAUAAGUUAUAUCCGGUCUACUACAAACCAUACCAUACAUGAUGCUUCCAAUCCCACUUGCAUAGGGAGUACUUUCCAUUACUUCCUUCUCAUCCUCGGAUUGAGGACAUUAUUUUAUGGACAACUUUGUGUGGUGACCCAAGGAAGUGCUAACGGUUUUAGAGUCUGACAUUCUUAAACAUUCCACCACCUUCUUAAAAUAACUUAGUUGAGAUAAGAAAAGUUCGCCUUUAUCACGAUUCCUCAAGAUAUCAAUUCCAAGAAAUCUCUUUGCCGGACCAAUAUAUUUCAUCUCAAAUUCACCAUUUAACUUUUCUUUGAGCUUCACAAUCUCAUCCUUACUAGAUCUUAUCAUCAAGAUAUCAUCUACAUAUAAAAGAAGUUAUAGAAUGACUUCCUAAGCCUUCUUUAACAUAUACACACAAGAAUCAUACAUGCUUCUAAAAAACUGAUCUUCAAAAGAAACUCAUCAAACCGACGAUACCAUUUCCUAGGACUUUGCUUCAACCCAUACAAAGAUUUCUUUAAAAGACACACCUUAGACUUGUCCUCCCCAAAACCUUCUGGUUGCUCCAUGUAGAUUGUCUCUUCAAGGGUACCAUGUAAGAAAGCAGUCUUUACAUCCAUUUGUUCCAACUCAAGAUUGAAUUGAUUCACAAUAUCCAUAAGUAUCCUUAUGGAACAAUGUUUCACCACCGGUGAGAAGAUCUCAUUAUACUCGAUCCCCUCCACCUAAGUUAAACCCUUGGCCACAAGUCUUGUUUUGUACCUAGGACCUUCAACUCCUAGAAUACCUUCCUUUUUCUUGAAGAUCCACUUGCAUCCAACUACCCUUUUGUUUUUAGGUAUCUUCACAAGUUUCCAUGUUUGGUUCCUUUCCAAUGAAUUCAUCUCUUCAUUCACCGCCUUCAACCAAUACUUUCUUUCUUUACUCUCAAAUGCCUCCUUCAAGUUUCUAGCCUCCGGGUCUUGCAAUUCUUCAACUGAAUUUAGAGCAUAACACACCAACUCCGCAUAACCAUAUCAUCUAGGUGUCGUAAUGGCCUCCUUUCUCUAUAUCUAGCCAAAAGAUAGUCAGGAUCCACUAUUGGUUGAGUUCCACUUGUAUCCGAUGUCGAAGCUUCAUCCUCCACAUCUUCUUCUUCAUCAUCAAUUGGAAGCUCCACCUCACACUUAGUUUACUCCACCCUUGUUUCCGGUGCUAAAGUCUAUAGGUCUGUACACUUUAUCCCCAUACGUGUCUCUAGUGUACUCCACCAGAUUCCAAUUUCCACAACUUGUAACCCUUCACACCUUCCGGAUAACCAAUGAAGACACAUUUCACAGCUCUAGCCUUAAGCUUGUCUUGCUUGAUAUGCGCAUAUGCCAAAUCUUAGAGAACCUUCAUAGAUGAGUAGAACAUUAGUUUCCCACUCCAUACUUCCAUAGGUAUCCUGAAGUUUAUUCCCGUUGAUGGACAUAUGUUGAUCAAAUAAGCUGCAGUUUUCACUGAUUCACCUCAGAAACUCAUUGGUAACCCAUCUCCUAGAUGCAUACACCUCACCCGCUCCAAAACGGUCGUAUUCAUAUGUUCAGCAAGACCAUUUUGUUGCGGUGUUCUUGGUACGGUCAUGUUCCUCUUGAUUCCUUUCUAUAUCCAAAACUGAUUAAAUUGCUCUGAAACAAACUCCAGGCCAAUGUCAAUUCACAAACCUUUCAGUUUAGUUCCCAUUUAAUUUUUUAUGAGAGUGUGCAAUUCCUUAAACUUAUUAAAGGUGUCACUUUUGUUUUUUAAAACAAAGAUCCACACUCUCCUAGAAUAAUCAUUAAUGAUAGAAAGAAAAUAGGAACCUCCCCCAUGAGUAUGUGUCUUGGAAGGACCCCAAAGAUCCGAGUGCACAUACUCAAAAGGUCUACUUUAAUGAUGCAUACCACUACAAAACUUAACACUAUGUUGCUUUCCUAGUAUGCAAUGCUCACAAAAUUCUAGCUUGUCCAAUUUAUCUUUUCCUAGCAAACCGUGUUUAGCUUGUUCAACUAAACCUCUUUCACUAACAUUUCCCAAUCUCAAAUGCCACAAUUCAUAAUUAUUAUAAGGUGCUACACUACCUACCGAUGCAUUACCAAUUACUAUGGAACCAUUUAAAAUAUAUAAACCAUUAAUUUUAGACCUUAUAACUGUAAUUAAUGCACCAUGCAAAAUUUUACAAACCCCAUGCUCAAUUAUAGUGCAAUAACCUAGCCUAUAAAACAUGCUUCUGGAAAUUAAAUUUCGCUUAAGUUCGGGAACAAACCUCACAUCUCUUAGAAGGAAUUCACGGCCAUCAAAGAUCUUUAGACGAACGGUGCCCAUGACUUGGAUUUUGCAAGCUUUUUUAUUUCCGAGUCGAACAACUCCUCCUUCUUUUAGAGCCAAAUUCUCAAAAUAUUCCUUCAUAAGACACAUGUGAUAAGAGCACCCCGAGUCCAAAACCCAACUCUUCUCUAGUUCUCAACUUGUAACCACUAGUGCACCGACACUUUCAUAACCAUCUUCACCGGAGGCCACCGCAACUUGUGUAACACUCAUAUUUCUAUUUAAGCAAUUAAACAUGCGAAUAAUACAUUUAUUCAAGAAAUAGAGGCUACGCCACAUUCAAAAUUCAAAAACCAAUAAACAUGUAUAUAAACCUCAACAGUUGCAGCGGAAUAUAAACCAAAGUAAUCCGAAUAUCUACAUGUCAUGAAUCAAUAAAUCACAUCACAUAGAUGCAUCUCAAAAAUCCCAAACAAACGGGUAAUCUCCAACAAAACAAAAUCCAGAAAAAAAAACCUAAUCUAGACCGACACAACAAGCCUAGAUCAGAGCCGACUCAACAACGAUAUUGGAGAAAGCUCCCGAUAUCACCAAGCACUACUCCUGCACAAUGUCUACCCAUCCAUACAGACAGGUAGGUGGUUAAAACCACUAGGGGUAAGUAUUACAUUAUCAUAGUCCAAACAGCAGUUAAUGUAACAGCCCGAUUUUUAGCUAGAUUUAUUUUAAUUACUUUUAUUGUGUGUUUUAUGUGUGUAUAUGCGCUUGUGUUUAUUUAAAUGUCAUUGGGUGCAUUUUCAUGGGUUUCCGUGUUAGAAGGGUAUUUUAGUCAUUUUGGACUUAGGGGUAUUUUGGUCAUUUGGCGGGUAAGGGUAAAAUGGUAAUUUUGGUGAGAAUUAUUUUAAUAAUUAGUGAGAAUAGUAUUUUACUAAGUUACUAGAGUAAAACUUAGAUUUUAUCGUUAGUGAUCGUUAGUGAUAUUUUACCGUUAUUAGUUAAUUGGAGUUAGAAGUAUAGAAACAUUUUGAUGUGAAUAGAGAACGGGUUAAGUCCAUUAGGUUUUGGGUUAGGCCCAUUAGUGGGAUAUACUACAAAACAUUUGUCUUAGAGAAAACAUUAUUCAUUUCAUUUGAGACAUUUCUAGAGAGAAAGUGGGAAGAGAAGAUAAGGGUUUGGAGAGAAGAACUUGAAGAAUCCAAUUGGGUAAGCUUAGGAGCUAAAUUGAAGCCUAGGUUUGGUCUAAUCUUCAUCUAAGGUAAGGGGGUUAGUCUUUAUCAUAAUCAUGUUCAUUCCUUACAAUUUUUCAUGAUUUGUAUGAAAUGGGUUGAAAUGAAUGAAUGGAUAAUUGUUGCUAAAUUCGUGCUCCAACUUUGAUGAUAUGUUUGUAUGCAUGAAUUGAUAAUAAUUGUAUGAUUGUUGGUUAAAUUACAUGUUUGAAUAUGUGAAAAUGAAAAGUUAUGAAAAUUGUGCAAAAUGGAUGAAUUUGACAUGUUGUAGUUGGAUUGAGCUAUGAUUCUUGUGCAAUUGAUGUUGUUGAUGCUAAUAGAUGUUGUAGUUGAUGAAUCAUUGCUUGGGUAUACAUAUUCAUGGAUUGAUGAUGAGAAUUUGAAUUGUUGUUGGUGUUUUGGUGAAAUUUGUGAAUUGAUGAAAUAUGAUAAGUUUUUGUUGAAUUAUGAUGGAGUGUAUGAUUAUAUGUUGUGAUUGUGGUUGAUUGUUAAUGUUGAUCUCAUUUCAUGACUUGGGUAUGAUUUAUGUUGAGAAUUUGAAUUGUGUUGAAUUGGAAGAGAUGAAUUAUGGUUGUUUGAAAACUUAUUGUUUUGAGAAAAAUUAUUUUAAAACAAUUUCAUAACUUGUACAAAUGCCACGAAACGAGCGAGUUCGAUGUGUUAGAGCCUCGGGUUAUGCCUCCGAUCACGUUUGAUGAUUGAGGAUUUUAAACAUUCGAUUUUUGAUCGAAAUUGGCAAAAACCCGCGGCCGAAACACGCGAAAACGCGCGUUUACGUAGCGCUGCGCCUGUAGUGGAGCGCUGGGCGCCCACUUACAGGGAGCCAGCGAUGGGCGCUGCACCUCUAGCGCCAGGUGCCCAUGACAGGACAUCGGAAACGUUGUUCUGUGUCCGGGUGCUUGGGGGUGGUCGUGCAGGGGUCCUAGGCGAUCGUUUUGAAGUGUUUUUUUGCUGUUUUCACCUACUUUUCUACUGGAACACAUUUGGCUUUGUCGGAACUUUAAUUUUCUAAAUGGUUUGAAACUUGAGUUUGUGUCGUUUCGGUUUUUCGGAAAUUGUUGGAACUUGGUCUUUGUGAACAAAAGGAGUUGCAAGCUUAGUCUACAGUUCUUAUGGGCUUAGGCAAUGCUUGUAAGGUUGGUACAAUGUCUUAAUCAUGUCAAACUUGAUUUUCGGGUGGGAAUGUGGAAUGUAUAAACUUGGGAUUUUCUCAUACGAACUUAGGCUAACCUUUGAACUAAUGAUCGAUAGUUCGUAAGUGGCCUAUGCUCAUACUUAUAUGAUUGAUUAAGAUUGAAUUGUAGGAUUUCAAACUUGAAUAAGUUGCCUAGCUUUGAAAAUUAUCACUGUUGGCCGUUUACCACAUGAUUUGGAUUUUUGUCGGAAAUGUUUUUUUAGCAAAUUGCCUUGUGAGUUAUUGUGAUUAUUCUUGUAUGACUAAUUGAAGUUGUAUGAAUGAGUGAUUAUAUUUUGGAUAUGAUGUUUAUCAUGAGAUAUGUAUGCUAUCUUACUUAGAAUGUAAGGAAUGCUUGAAUGGUGAAACUAUAUGUGUUAGUUGAUGUUGAAUGGUUAUAUGUUGGAUAUGAUAUUUGUCAUAAGAUGUUGUAUGUUCUCUUACUUGGGAUAUGAGAAUUGUUUGGAAUGGUGAAACUAUAUGAUAUAGUUGAUGUUGAAUGACAUUGUUGAUUAUUGAUAAUCAUGUUGAUGUGUGAUGGUGAAUACUAUGAUUUAUUUGUGUAUGGGCAUGUUUUCUUGAUAAUGCAAAUGUUGUGGAGAUGAACAAUAUAAUUGGGUGUUGUCCUAUAUAUUAUGGAGAAAAUUGUGAUUGUUGUCGCAUUAUCGAGUCCUUGUACAUGUUCAUGCAUCAUAGUCGUGUUGACAUACGAUGUUUUAUUCGUUAUAGGGCUUCGGUCUGGCAGAGAUCUUUUGAGAUCUAGUUUUGGACUUCGGUCUAGCAGAGAUCUUUUGAGAUCUGGAUACGAUGUUUUAUUCGUUAUAGGGCUUCGGCCUGGCAGAGAUCUUUUGAGAUCUGGAUUUGGAGGUGACGACCUUUUGGAGAUUUGGUACCACAUGCAUUUAUGUGUCAAUAAGUGCAUAUCAUGACAUGAGUCAUAUUUGAAAAUGUGAUUGGUGAGUAUGUGUGAAUAAUUGUGAAUUGAUGUUUGACACAUGUGAUUGAUGAUUGUCCAUGAAAUGUGAUUAAUGAAUGUUCAUGGAAUAUGAUUGGUGAUUGUUCAUGGAAUAUGAUUGGUGAUUGUUCAUGAAAUGUGAUUAACGAUUGUUCAUGAAAUGUGAUUAAUGAUUGUUCAUGAUGUAUAUGAUUGGUGAUUGUGUAUGAAUAAAUGUGAAUUGAUAUUUGUUCAUGACACAUGUGAUUGAUGAUUAUUAAUGUGAGAUAUUGGGAUUUGAUGUAAGUAUGAAUAUUAUUAUUGAUCAAGUGCAUGAUGUUUAAAUUGAAAUAUUCAUGUUAACUGUUAUUUGGAUUAUGAUAAUGUAAUGCUUACCCCCAGUGGUUUUAACCGCCUACUUGCCUGUAUGGGUGAGUAGACGUUGUGCAGGAGUAGUCUCGGUGAGUCUUUGUUUGGGAUAUCGGGAGCUUCCUCCGAUAUCGGUGUCGUGUCGGCUCUGAUCUAGGCUUGUCGUGUCGGUCUAGAUUAGGUUGUUUAUAUAUUUCCUUUGGAUUAUUAUUUUGUUGAUGACUACCCGUAUGUUUGGGUUUUGAGAUUUAUCUUUGGGAUAUGAUUUAUUUGCUCAUGGCAUGUAAAUAUUUGAUCACUCUGAUUUAUAUUCCGCUGUAACUGUUGAGGUUUACAUACAUGUCUAUCGGUUUUUGAAUUUUGAAUAAGACGUAAUCUCUAUUUCUUGAAUAAAUGUAUUAUUCGCAUGUUUAAUUGCUAUAAUAGAAAUAGGAGCGUUACACAAAUAUUCACUAAUCAUAUGAACAAUUAUCAAUUCACAAAUAUUUAUUCACAAUCACCAAUCACUUUCAUCAUGAAUAAUCAUUAAUCACAUUUCAUGAACAAUCACAUAUAUCAAAUAAGACUCAUGUCAUGAUAUGCACUUAUUGACACAUAAAUGCAUGUGGUACCAAAUCUCCAAAAGGUCGUCACCUCCGAUGGAACAACUCAACAUCGUAUGUAAGGGUUCACCCCCGCCUUACAUAAUCUCCGAAGUAAAAGAGCUCAACCCUUUUACAACUACACGACUAUGAUGCAUGGACAUGUAGCAAGACUCGAUAAUGCGACAACAAUCACAAUUUUCUCCACAAUAUAUAGGACAACAGCCAAUUAUAUUGUUCAUCUCCACAUCAUUUGCAUUAUCAAGAAAACAUGUCCAUUCACAAUUAAAUCAUAGUAUUCAUCAUCACAUAUCAACAUGAUUAUCAAUAAUCAGCAAUGUCAUUCAACAUCAACUAUCACAUAUAGUUUCACCAAUUCAACAUUCCUUACAUUCUAGUAAGAUAGCAUACACAUCUCAUCAUAAACAUCAUAUCCAAUACAAUCAUUUAUUCAUACAACUUCACUUAGUCAUACAAGAAUAAUCACAACAAUUCCUAAGGUAAUUGACUCAAGAAAACAUCUCCGAUUAAAACCCAUAUCAAGUUUAGAAAAGUUUCACGGCUCAAAGAAAAAGUUAUGAUAAGUUUUCACAAAAAUCCACAUGACCCAUGUGUAGUAAUUUGAUCAUAACUCAAGUUCUAAAAAUCAUUUGGACGUUAAACCAAAGCCAUUAGAAAGCUAACUUAAUUACCUAAAACUUUCAUGUUUACACCAAAAUCCAAUUCAAAGUGAAAAGGGGUGAAAAAUAGUGAAAUAUGAAGGAUCUGAUUCAUAAAAAUUGUGUCACGUUUUUUUGGAAAUCGUGACACGUUUUUAUGCCGAGAACCAUUGAACGUUCUGCCAAGAAAUUGUGGCACGAUUUUGACAGUAUCAUGUCCAAAAUCAGCUUUUCCAAAAAGGGCGUUUUUCACCAUUUCGCGCGUAAAAUUCAAACCGUUAAUCAGAUUUUGAUGUCGUUUUCGCCUACACACUCCUGUCACUUGACUCUAACAUAAUCUACAAAAUUUUCAUGUUUCAACCAUCCCAAAAGUCAUCUUCCAAAACCUCACAUAAUUACUUAUUGGCGAAAACGCUUAAACAUCGAUAUUUCACACGAAAAACCCGUUUUCUCCCAAACGACUCAACUAACAUAACCACAACAUGAAAACAGAAAUUCUCCUAUGUUCAAUUCAUCCAACAAUAACAAAAUUUCAGUCAACAACCAUAUAUAUCAAAAGUUCAUUUUGGUCCUUCACAUGAACACUUAACUCAACUUCACCAAUUUCACAAAACCACCAACAACAAUCCAUUUCUCAACAACAAAUUAUGAAUCAUGCAAACCUAAGCCAUGUAUCAUCAUCAACAAUAUGACUAAACAACAACAACAACCAUUGAUCAUGAAACAUAUCACAAUUCAUCAACAACCAUGCAUAAUUCACCAAUUGAGCAUAAUUUACAAACUACCCAUUUUCAUACAUCAUGAACUUGCAAUUUCAUCAUCAACAAUUCAUUUAACAUCAAAUUAACAUAUUCAAACACAUGUCUACAACAUAAGCACGAAUUUCAAAGAUUGGGUUCAUGAUAAUCACUUAUUCUCAUAAUCAAUUAUGCAUAGAACAAGAGAAAAUGAAUUAACUAAAUGAUUGUGAUAAAAACUAACCCCCUUACCUUAAUUAUCUCCAACUAUUAGCUCUAGCUUCACUUUUGCUCCUAUGAUUCUUCAAACCCUUGAAUUCUUCAAGUUCCUCUUCUCUCUAACACUUGUUCUUCUCUUCUCCCACUGUUUUCUCUCUACCUCUCUCUAGAAAAUAUCAUAUGAAAUGAAUGAAGUGAUAUUCUCCUAAGACAACUCAUUAGGUAUAACCCUUAGUGGGCUUAACCUAGUUUCUAGUGGGCUUAACCCAUUUCUAUUCAAACCAAAAAUAUUUCUACACAUCAAACGAUAUUUAACUAAAAACGGUAAAAUGUCACUAACGGUCACUAAACGGUAAAAUCUCAAUUUACUCUAGUAACUUAAUGAAAUAACUAUUCUCACUAAUCACUAAAAGUAAUUCCCACCAAAAAUUAUAAUUUUACCCGUCCUCACCAAAUGACCAAAAUACCCUUAAGUCCAAAAUGACUAAAAUACCCUUCUAGCACGGAAACCCAUGAAAAUGCACCCAAUGAAGAAUAAUCACACACAAACACAUAUAAACACAUAAUAAAAGUAAUUAAAAUAAAUCUAGCUAAAAAUCGGGCUGUUACAACUUGAACGGAAGAACAACCAUUGCCCCUUUGUCUGGACAGUCCUUCUUGAAGUGAUUCUUGAAGUGACCGCGUUUAUGACAAAGAAAGUAUCGUAACUUUGAUUUGUCAAAACCCUUGGACUUAGACAUGGACCUCGACUUCCCUUUGCCUUUUCCUCUAUGGUCACUCAUUCUCCUUGAAACAUUCAAGCUUUCGCCACCCUCAUCAACUUUCAAGUGCUUGAACUUGGUCAAUUACUUGGUUCUCAAAGCCACUUGGACCUCCUCCAAAGUAAUGGUGUCCUCCUUACUGUAAAGGAUGUUAUCGUUGAAAUGCUCAAAAGACUUGGGUAAUGAAGAAAUUAGCAACAAAGCAUUUUCCUCAUCUUCCAUAUUUACUUCAAUAUUGGCCAAGUCAUCAAGUAUUUUGUUAAAUUUUGUCAAUUGCUUUGUCAUUGAUUUAGACUCCACCAUCUUGAAAGAGUAGAGUUGUUGUUUCAAGAGUUGCCAAUGAGCCAACAAUUUCGUCAUGUACAAUGACUCCAAGUUAGCUCACAUUAACAUCGCGGUAGCUUCCCUCGCGACAUCCCUUAAAACCUUAUUUCUGAGACAUAAAACAAUGAUACUUUUUGCCUUGUCUAUCAUCUCAUGCUUCUCCGCUUGUGUCAAAUUUCCCGGCAUUUCCGUUUUACCCUUCAAUUCUCUUACACAAUUUUGUGUCAAAACCGCUUGCAUCUUAACCUUCCAUAACCUGAAAUCAUUAUUUUCGGUGAACUUCUCGAUGUCCUACUUUGUACCCAUGAUACACGCUUUACCAAUUUACGCCUAUGCCCCACGGUGGGCGCAAACUGUUGUGAAUUCGGUCAAAAAUCACACCAAUGAAAAACAAAAAUGUGUGAAGCAAAGGAAGUGGUAAUCAAUGAGUAAAGUAUCCUCAACCAACAACAACAACAACAACAAAACAGUUCAAAAACUAUGUGUAAAGCAACACCACAAGCAUAAUCAAAGCAACAAGAUAAAAAAGUAAGAAAGAAGACAAAUACACCACCCAGAUCCGUCCAAUAUGACCUACUCUAGAGGAGAGAACAAUUCUCUAAUCCACUAAGAUGAAAGUGAUACAAUUGGAUUAAUAUUUGAGAAUUUCCAAACUCACACACAUUUCACCUGCAACAUUAAUUUAUCAUUUGUUUUCUACCUACUAACUAAAUACAAAUUUAAUACUUGAGAAUUUUUAUUUGUAAAUUUUAUUAGAUUAUAAUUUAAACCCCUUUUUUGAUAAUAGUAUUUAACUUCAAUUCAAACCUCCUUUUUAUAAUAUUAUUUAACUUCACCAACCUCAACUUUCUUAUGAUAUUAUUUAACUCCAAUUCAAACACCUUAUUUAUAAUAUUAUUUAACUUCAUCAACCUCAACUUUCUUAUGAUAUUAUUUAACUUUACCAAUCACAUAUUUUUUUUCCUUGGAGUGGGUAAUUUAUUGAGCUACCAUAUAUUGUCCCCACUUUCGCCAGCCGGAACAAAACUACUUUGACAUGGACCAUUAAUCUUACUCAUGCCAAACCUUAGCCUAUGAGCUAUGAUCUUAGUAAUUUUCUUAUAAGAUACAUUACAAAUAUUUAUAUGCCUAAAAUCUUUAACAAAUGUUACUACCUCUUUCUUUGGGAUCAAGAAGAUAAAUUUAUCAUUAAUAUGGUUCACUUUCGUUCGAUCAUAAAUUUUUUUGUAAAUAAGAUAUGAUUACAGAGCGCAUCACCUACCACCUGCCAUUGAAAUCGGCUUGAGAACCAUCCGGCCAAGGUGCCCCACUUCUUAUAAACAAAUUAAGAUGAUCCAAAUUUAAGCGAGUGUAAUAACUUUUGAAAAUUUAGUGACAUGAGUUUUAGAGGCCCAUUAAGGUUUGAAAAUUGUUUUUUUACAUAAAAAAUUUCAUAUUGACACAAGUAAAAUACUAAAAUGCCCCUAACGGCAGUUAACAGCCGCUCAAUGAUACGCCGGCAGUUCCGCUGGCACCAGCGGCAGUUAACUGUCGUUGAUAUUUGUAUCUUAAGAACGCAGAAACUGCAGUUUCUGGUUUACAGAAACACUUACUAAAACAUCCAAAUUUAAUCCAAAAUCACCCAAACCUUCAUUUCCACGAAAAUCAUCCAAUUUGCUUCAACUAAAUCACAAGUAAGUACCUUUCUUCCUAUUUACAUGCAAUGUAGGUUGUUUAGGGUGUUAUUUUCAUAAUUUUAGCAAAAUGUUUAGGGUUUAGGUUAGGUUUAAAAAUUGCAAAUUAUGAUAGAAUUAGAUGUUGUAAUUGAUUUUUUAUGCUGACAUUGUUGUUUAGAGUAGGUUUAGGUACAAUUUAGUUGAAUUUGACGUUGAAUAAACACUAAUUGUGCUAGUAUUUUGAAAUGCACAUAAGGUGUUUGAUGAAAUGCCUAAGUGAGAAAAUCUUGCUUUUUUGUGAUUUUUUUUUCUUCAAAUAUUUUCAAUUUUAUAAUGUAUGUUAUAAUGAUUAUAAGUUUAAAUUUUUGUUUUUUUUUGCAAGUUUGAUUAGUUUGGACAUAAUGAUAUAAUAACUGUAUAUUUGUGUAAUGCAUAUAUGUUAUGAUGUUUAUAAGUUUAUUUUUUUGGCAUUUUUUGGCAAGUUUGAUGAAUGACGUAAUGUGGUAUGUUACAUAAAGUUUGAUGAAUGUGUUAUAUUAAAUUUUAUGAAUGCCUAAGUUUAAUUUAUCAUAUAUGCUUAAGUUUAAUUUGUGAUAAUGUAAGGGUUAAAACAUUGCUCAAUAAUUUUGGCAUAAUGAUAACCAUAAUGUAGAAUAAACAUAAUGUGAUAAUGUAGUUAGAUUAGAUUUGUUGAAUGCAUAAGUUAGAUUAGGAUAAUGUAGUUAGAUUAGGUUUGAUGAAUGCAUAAGUUAGAUUGGGUUAGAACCAUUGUUCCACGUAUUUAUGUUUUUUUUUUUUUAAAUUUGUACAGAUAUGGUUAGGGAUACGGAUGAGCAACAGUAGGUUAUUAGAGAGGAUAGGAUGCGGAAAGGUAAAGCGGCGAGUACCGCUAGUGCUCGGAGAGAAAAGGGGGAUCAAAAUUCGUAUGUCCCUAAGACUCGGAAGCGCAGGGACCCGAGGAUAGAUGGAGAGGGCUCACAGGAAUAGGUGGAUUACUCCUCCCAGGUGGUUGAUCCGACACCAGCUCUUGAUUAUGCUGGGUAUGCGGAUGAGUCUUUUGCUGGAUAUGAUCGGAUGGAUGAGGAUAGGAUGUUUUAUCAGCUGCAGAACGAGGCAGAGGAUGAGGAGGUGGGAGAUGAUGAGGGGGUGUCAGAGGAUGUUGUGGCAGAUUAUAUGGAGGCAGACCCUGAGCCUCAAACUCAGCCACGACGUCGUCGUCUUCCACAAUUAUCGUCAUAUCCUGUUGGAGAGCCUCCCUAUCCUGUUGGAGGACCUGAGACCACGUCGCUAUUGUCUAACUACGCGAGGCACGUGGCGAACCCUCUUUGGGUGAACCAUCAUAAUGUAAGUGUUUAAAUUAUUUAAAAUUCUUUAAAUGCAUUAUUUAAAAUAAUGUAGCGUAAAUGUUAUAAUUUUUUAAAAUAAUGUAGCAUAAAUGUUUUAAUUAUUUAAAAGAAUGUAGGAUAAGUGUUUUAAUUAAUUUAUAUUAUGUAGCGUAAGUGUUUUAAUUAUUUUAUAUUAUGUGUUAUCACGAUUUUGGGGUAUCAAGUCAUUAAUUAGGCUUGAACCUUUCAAUCUUUGAUAUUCUCUAUUUUUCCUUGGGAAGGGCAAAAUUGAGAAAACCCUUAGAAAUUCUAAAUUCGGGGGUCGUUUUCGUUACGGGAAGGUGUUAGGCACCCGCAAUGACUAUAGUACUCUAUAGGAACCGUUUCUUAGUUUUAUGUCUACGCCUUAUUUUUAAUGCUGUUUAUUAAAAAGAAGUCGAUUAUGUUAAGAAUGGAGGGAGGAAAAUGUUUGAAGUUUUAUUUUAUUGGACUUGGAGAAGUUUUGACCUCUUGCCUACAUACCUGUUAUACCCUGUUUUUGGACCUAAAAAUACUGGGCCCAAUUUCAUUUCAAACUUUGUCAAUUAUCAAAUUUCAACUGCACAGUUCGAAUUGUCUCUGCCUCGCAGUAUUUUCAAUCACAAUUUUACCUAUGUUUUUCUUGCAUAAAACCUUUCGAAAUGUCUUUACUUGUCUUGUAAGUCAUUCAAAAGUGUCUCUGAAUCAUUGCAUUGCUUUUUCUACAGUUUAUUUCAAAAUUUGCAAAAAGUCAUACAGAAGGGUAUUUUGGUCAUUUCCUGCAGUGGGACCCAUUUUCAUCCUUGUGACUGUCUCUGAGUCUUUUUCAGAUUGAUUUUUAACAUUUCAUCAGUAAACCUUGUUAAAUUCAUUUCAAACUUGCAUCUGAGUCAGUGUCGAGUCAAUUCGAAUCUGUUUAGGUCAUUUUUAGCCCUAGGGACAUUUUGGUCAUUUCACACAAAAUUUUGGCAUAGAGAGGUUACUUUGAAGUACCUCAUUUAAGCCAUUGGUUCGUUUUAGUCCGUUUUGUCAAUUUUAGUUUUUGUUUCGCUUUACGUUUUGUCAGAUUACCAAUUUUAUUUCAAUUUUAUUUUUAUUUUGCAUUUUGGUCCAGAUACUUUCCAAUUUGCAUUUCAGUCCAGAAUUCUUUCUAUUUGCUUUUUUAGUCCUUUUUGUUAUUUUCAUUUUAGUCCUUUAAUUUUUCAAUUUUGCAGAAAAGGGCUCAAAGUGUCAAACUUGCGUUUUUAGCUAGGAUCCAGAUGUCACAAUUCUAUUGGUUCAGAAGCACACUUGGCAGCCUAUAAAAGGCACAUUUACUGUACAAGUCAGAAUCAGAAGCAAUAAUCACACGCCAACUCAUAAACACAAAUUCAAUUUUCUUUUUCUCAGCAAUUGAAUCAAAACAGAAAAAUUUCUCAGAAUUUCUCAAGAACACCAAGAACACAAAACCCUAACCGUUUCCAGAAAUCAAAAAGUUCAUCAGAAAUCAACUAAUUUCACAUCAAUCCUCAGAGAUUCGUGUGAAUCUUCAUCACUGGAUUGAAGAUUCUCCUGCAAUUCUAAGUGCGAGCUCACGUUGAAGCAAGCUCAAGCACUGAUCACAGGGAUUCUCUCACGCAGAUCUAAGAAGCAAGCUCAAGCACGUAAUCACAGAGAGAAAAGUAGGGAAAGAAUCGGAGAAGAUGAAGAAACAGAACCGGUAAACCGAUUUAUUUUCGGUCCAGAGAAGAUCAAAAAUCAUCAAGAACAUUCAAGUUUUCCAAAGAUUUUCUCUAUCAAAAGUUUCAACCAAGGCUUCAGGUAAAACUCAUCUUUCUCUUUUAAAACGUUAUAAUCAUAGUUUAACCUGCAAAAUCACGUGAAUAAGCAAAAAUUUUCCAGAAUCACAAAGAUGAAACCAUAACCGUAAACACAAAACCUAGAUCCAUAAGGAUCCAAGUUUUGAAAGCAAGAACAAGCACCAGAGAAGUAAUAAAACGACGAAGCGAUGUAGAUCUUUAAAGAUCUAAACGUUUUCUUUCAAAAAAUAAAAAAAAAUCAAUUUCAGAACCGUACGAAAAUUUUCAGAUCUACGUCGUUUCAAGCUGUGUUUGAGAAAAUCUUUGCUGGAUUCGUGUUUAGGGUUAAAGGACGAAUCAAAAGAUGUAAAAAUCUUUAAGUUCUGGAAAAAAUUUCACCGGAAAGUGCAUAGGCUCGCCGGAGAAGAUGAAGUUUCCGGCGGACCUUCAAGGUCUCCGCCGUAGCUUCAUCCUCACCGGCGGUGAGAGGUGAGAGGUGAGAGAAGAGAGAAGAAGCUUAGAGAGAGAAGGAAAUGAAAGAAAUGAGCUGGACCGGUGUCCAUCUCCUUAUAUAAACACCUGAACCGGUCCGGUUCAUUUUGUUUUCAUUUUGGACCGUAGGAUCUAGGGUUUUCUCAUUUGAAUGGCUGUGAUGCGUUGGUUCCAUGUGCUUGAUCUGUGUUACCAUGUGCUGCUUGUUUUGAACCGUCAGAUCUAGGUCUGGAUCAAUCCAACGCCUCUAAGGCCUUUGGAUGAUCCAGGCCCAGUCUGUAUUGGGUUUUGGUUUGGGCUUAAGGUUCUUUUCACGUUUUUGUGUUUUUUCUUGCUAUUUGCACUGCUUUUCUUGCUACCUGAACCUGUUGCUUGCUUACAUUUUUUACAAAAAAAUUCCUAAAAAUCCUAGUUGUUUCUUGAUAUAUUUUUGGUAUUUCUAUGGUGUUUUUGCAUGUAAAAAAAAUGUUAAAAUGGCAUGAACUAAUUCCCAUGUGUUUUUACAUUUUUGGUAUACUUUUUGCUAUGUUUUUGUUCUUGACACUUUGAUAUGUGACAUGAAUGAAUGAUGCCUAAUGUUGUGAUGAAUAUGCCUCUGGUCGUGUGCCCUUUUUGCUGAUUUUUGGAUAUGAUUUUGUGAAUUUCUUGUUUUGCAAGUAACAAGUGUUUUUCUUAAGGAAUAAAGUGUCAAAUUUCUCUAUGAAUUUGGUGUGAUACUUUGCUUGCAUGCACCUCUAUUAAUUUCAUGUCAUGGCUUGAAACAAAAUCUCUUUCAAAAUUACCAUGAUGUGAUGAUUAUGGGCCACAAGCAUAUUUAUGUACCAUAUCAAAUUUUUUAGGUUUUUACCACUUUAUUACUUUCUUCUUGUCAUCCUUAUGCAAUUUCCUUUUAUUUAUUUCCUACCAUUUCGUGCUUUGUGAUUACUAACCAUUUCAUCUCAUGUGACAUACAUUUCAUAGCAUUCCACUAUCUCCUCCACUUUCUUUAGCUUAGCAUUUAUUCUCUUUGCAAGUUUUAACUCAUUUGGCGAUGUAAUUUGUUAUCAUUGGUUUGUAGCUUGGCAAAGGGGCCAUAGAAUGUAUUUAGGCAAUUUGUGUAAUAUGGACCAUGGACACUAUGACGCACCGGCACGCACACACUCACCCUAGAUGUAUGCCUAGGAUUGCAUGUUUAGAUGAAUGCUUAGGUUUAAACACUUAGAGAAAAUCCAACUUUUUUCCAAAAAAUAUGCAAGCAAAUUCACUUCAAAUAUUUUUCGUAAAAAAAUGGAGUCAAAACUCCAAUAAUUUUUCCCUUUUAUUUUCUUAAUCAAAUUCUCAAAUAAGCCUAAUCAUUAAGACUUUUUUUGCAAAAUCACUAAACAAACCCUCACUUUUUCAUACUCUAAUGCUCAUGAAGCCUCUCAAUCCCCUUCUUCAAAAUCAUUUUCAAAAUUUAAAAUCAAACAAUUAAAACAAAAAACAAGUCUUUUUAGCAAGAACUACGCCGGUUUUGAUCCCGUAAAACGGUACGUAGGCAAGGGACUUUAACCCCUCCAAGCCGAAAUAAAAUCAAAUUCUACUUCUUCUCACCCCCAUUCUUCACUAAUCACACCUUCCUUUUUUACAAAUAGUCUCUAAAAGUAAAGCGUAGAAAUAAACUUAGGAGAACGGUUCUUAUGGAAUACCAUAAUCGCUCCGGGUGCCUAACACCUUCCCGUAGCGAAAACGACCCCCGAAUUCGGAAAAUUAAGGGUUUUUUCUCAAUUUUGCCCUUCCCAAGAAAAAAGAGAGAUAUCAACGGUCAAAAGGUUCAAGUCCAAUUAAUGGCUUGGUACCCAAAAACCAUGAUAACAAUACCCUUUUAAGGGAUCAAAAUUCCAUGUAGUUCUCUUUCAAAAAUGUUUUUUUGCGUGUUUGAUUGAUUUUAGUUUUUUUUAGAAAAUGGUUUUGAAGAAGAGAAAGAAGCCGUAAAGGCAUGAGAAAAAGUAGUGAAGAGUUGUUUCAAUUAUUAAAAAGAAAAUGUCUAAGUUGGAAUUAGAGUUCAUUUGAGUUUGAUUAAGAAAAUAAAAGAAAAUGCAAUGGAUUUUUGACUCCAAGGUUUAUUCGGAAAAAUUUUCAAGUGAUGGAAUUUGCUUAUUUUUUGGAAAAUUGACAUUUUUCUAAGUAUCGCGUUUCCUAAGCAUACAUCUAAAGCGGUAAACAUACAACGUGUGUGCGUGUCGGUGCUUGUGUCGGUGUACAUCAUUAGAGAGUCCAUUGUCCGUUACAUUGGCCCUAGUUUACAUUCUAUGGUCUUGCAAGAAGUUAAAAGGAAAUUUAAACUACCUAAAAUAUUACAUGACAUUUUAACAUAGAAAUUAAAAGAAAAAUAAUGCCUAAGCUAUGAGAAAUUGAGAUGAAAGAGGUAAGAUGCUCAUGAAGUGAAUGAAACAAGAAAUGAAAUGGUUAGUAAUAUAAGGCAUAUAAUGGUAAGAAAAGUAAGCAAAGAAUUACGAGCCAAAACGGUAAAAAUGACAACAAUAACCAAAAUGUAAAAAAUACACAUAACUUGUAACAAAAGAAAUUAACAAAUCACACCAAAACAGUAAAACGAUCACACAAUCAGUAGCAUAUUCAACAUGAAAUUGCAUAUUAGUCACUCAUAUCAUGCCAAAACCUCAUGAACGGAUUAUAGCAAGAAAAUUCACAAGUUUAAUCAAAAAACGAACAAAUCAACAAGAAAAAAAAAUUACAUACAUUUUUAUCAUUUUUUAACACGUGAAAAUAUCACAAAAGUAUCAAAAAUACAUCGAGAAACAUAUAGGAAUUUUUAGGAAUUUUUUGCAAGAAAAUUGGACAAACAGAGGGUGCAGAUAGCAAGAAAACAGGGUGCAAAUAGCAUGAAAUAAGAAAAAAAAGCAGAAAUAACCAAACUGAAAACCCAAGCCCAAUACCCAUGGAUCCGGAUGCACGGGGAGCGUUGGAUUGAUCCAGGAAACCAAACCCUAGAUCUAAAGGCUCAGAAUGAAGGGAAAGAACCAGAAAUAAACCAGACCGAUUCAGUUGUUUAUAAAAAGGCUUAUGGACCGGUUUUUUUCCAUUUUCUUCCUCUCCUUUCUCUCUCUUCUCUCAUUGUAGUGAGAGAAGCUCUCACUUCUCUCCUCCCUCUCUCUCGCCGGAAACUGGAAAAGGAAGAUGAACUUCAUCUUCUCCGGUGAGGUUUGUUCCUCCGGCGUGGUGGCCGGCCGCCCAAGGGCGGCGGCGCCACCGCCGGAGUUGAACAAACCUCUCCGAUUUCGAAUUUUUUUACAUUUAUAGAGAUCCUUUUUUGUUCUGAACACGAAUAUGGCACUGGAUUUUGCGUGCAAAGCUCGAAUCAACGUAGACCUGAGAUUCUUUUUGCGGUUUUGAAUGAAACUUUUUCAAGUUUUUUUGUUUUUUUGAUUGGAAACUUUUAAAACUUUAUAGAUCUACACUUGAUUCGCCUUUGUUGAUGUUCUUGAGAAAGAAAGAUGAGGUCUGAGUUUUACCUGUGAUUUUCGGUUGGAGAUUUCGAAUAUGUUCUUUGGAAAACUUCGAUUUGAUUCUGUUUGUUGAUUUUCUGACUUGAAACCGAAAAUAAAUCGGUAUUCUUCUCCUUCACCGGUUCGACUUUUCUUUCCCUCUUCUUCUUCCUCGAAAAAAAAGUCUCUGCGAUCGUGUUUGAGUUUGCCGCUUUCAGUGGUGAAUUCGCACUUGAAUUGCAGAGCAACACGAUUCAAUGAUGAAGAUUCUUUGAUGAAUCUCUGAGAAUCGAAAAGAAACUGAUGAAUUUGAUGAAUUUGUGAUGAUUUUCGGUUUUGGAAAGUUAGAGUUUUUUGUGAAUGUUCUUGAUGAUUUUCUGUUUUGAUCUAACUGAAUGGAGAGAGAAAGUUGAAAUCUGUUUUUGGUGAUGUGUCAAUGAAUCUAUGGAUCUGUGUGGCACUGUGCACCUUUUAUAGGCUCCCUCCCAUGUGUGUUUCUGGACCAAUGAGAGAAGGCCACCUGUUUUGGACUUAGGGGCUUUCCUGCAAAAAUAAGAAAAUUGAAAGACUGGACAACAAAUAAGAAAAAGGACUAAAAAAUGCAAUUUUAAAAAGUUUUGGACUAAAAUGUAAUUUUAAAAAGUGUUUCAGGGACUAAAAUGUAAUUAAAAUAAAAUUGGACUAAAAUUGGUAAUUUGGAAAAAACAUAAAGUGAAACCAAAAAUAAAAUCAACAAAAGGACUAAAAUGAACCAGUUACAAAAAUGAGGUAUUUUAAAAUACCUCUCUGCCGAAAUUUUGACAAGAAAAGACCAAAAUGCCCUUAGGGACUAAAAUGAUUCAAACUGACUCAGAUGCAAUUUUUGAAAUGGUUUUAAACAGAGACUCAACAAUGAUUUGUACAGACAAGUUGAAAAGACUCAGAGGCAAACACAGGGACUAAAAUGGGUUCCACUGCAGGAAAUGACCAAAAUACCCUUUUUGUAUGAUUUUUUGAAAUAAAAUGCAAGAAAAGUAAUGCGAUGUUUCAGAGAGUUUUCAAAUGACUUGUGAUGCAAGAAAAACACUUUGGAUAAUUUUAUGCAAGAAAAUCAAGCUUGAACGUACUUUGAGACAGAAACAGUAAAAUAUGCAGACGAAGAGAGAGUAGAGGUUCGGAGUAAAACAACAGCGAAUUGACAAUUAUCAGUGUUAGAAAAGAAAUUUGAACGAGUAUUUUUAGGUCCAAAAUCAAGGUGUAACAUUAUGUACUGUAAGUGUUUUAAUUAUUUUAUAUUAUGUAGCGUAAGUAUUUUAAUUAUUUAAUAUUAUGUAGCGUAAGUGUUUUAAUUAUUUAAAAGAAUGUAGCGUAAGUGUUUUAAUUACUUAAAAUAAUGUAGCGUAAAUGUUUUAAUUAUUUAAAAGAAUGUAGCGCAAGUGUUUUAAUUAUUUUAUAUUAUGUAGCGUAAGUGUUUUAAUUAUUUUAUAUUAUGUAGCGUAAGUCUUUUAAUUAUUUAAUAUUAUGUAUGGUUAGUUUUUUAAUUAUAUAAAUUACUGACAAUGUAAUAUUUAAUUUGAAUAUCAGAUGUGGCAUGAUCAGACGGGUUACAAGUGUAUAAAUGCGGGGGUAAAGAUGAGAGAGCUUGGUAAGCCGGAGGCGGGUUUGAGAUGGUUUUGGGAGCCUGUGGAGGGGUCUGGCCAGCAUGAUUUGAUAGACACUGGGUAUUCUACCGUGACCCAUGCCAUGAUACGUGUUAUGUGCGAGAGGUGGCACACAGAGACCAGUAGUUUUCAUCUACCUGUGGGGGAGAUGGCGAUUACUUUGGACGAUGUGCAUAAUCUCCUACACAUUCCUAUUCACGGGCGCAUGCUGGACCACGAUUGGGCAAUGGGUCAGUAGCGUGCGAUUGAUUUGAUGACUAGGUUGUUGGGCAUGUCAUAUGCUGAUGCCCGGGCUGAGAUUAGGACUGAGUCUACUGGUCAUAUCAUUUAUCCCACACUGAAGUGGGUUUAUGAACACCACCUGACAGAGGCUAGAAAGCUGGAGGAGCCACAGACGAGGGAGGAGUUGCAGGAGAGAGGCAUGAGGAGGGUGUGGUGUGUCAGGAGUUUCCUUCUAUAUCUCGUCGGUUGUGCGAUGUUCACUAACAAAACGAACAGACACAUCGACUUGAUAUAUCUUGAUUGCAUGGCGGACUUGCAGGCGAUUGGGAAGUGGUCAUGGGGAGGUAUGGCCUUAGCUACCUUUAUGAUUAUCGGGAUGAUUCUGUUAUUUUGAAUAACAAAACGAUGGCUGGGAGUACGACUCUUUUUAUGGUAAUAAUUUAAUAUUUAUCUUCAUUUCAUUAUGAAUUUAUUUUAUAAAUUUUAUUAUCAUGUUAGAUUAUUUUUUCCUAAGUUAGACUGCAUUUAUUUAGGAUUUAAUUUAAAUUUUUCUAUGAAGCUUUUAUAAUGUAUUUUAUUUAUUUGUUGCAGGGAUGGAUUUUGGAGUAUUUGCAAGGUCGGUACCCAAGGAAGAAAAACAAGAGCUGGACGCCGGAGAGACCAUGUGCUGGGAGAUGGCUUACUAGCAGAGGGCAUACUUAUGUGCACCAUUAUCGCUUACUGCUUGAUCUCUUAGAGGUGGAUGACGUCAGGUUUUCUACUUAUGGUGAUCAUAGAGACGUGCAUCCAUUUCAGCUUCUGUGCACUUACUCGGGAUGGCUAAUGUGCGGGAAGGAGAGAGACACUGUUCAGAACCACACACAGUGUAUUACAGAAGCGGUGAGAAUCACCUUUAUGCCUUAUCUUUGUCAAUUAAUAAUUAUAGACUAGGACCCUGUUUGGAUAAACAACUUAAUUUGUUUAUGCCUUAUCACAUCCAAAAUCCGAGUAAGACAUGGCCUCCCAAAGAAAAGUAACGUAAGCAACAACUUCACAAUCAAACAAGAAACAAAAGCAGAUUCUAGAGGAAGAGGCACGUGGAAUACACUAGUUAGUGUAAUUAUUUGAGAAUUGUUGUUCCCACGUUGCAUAAGGAUGUGGCACACAAGUAAUUGACGUUUUUGUCCCUUCGGCGGUUAACUGCCGAAGUUUUAGAAAUCCGACUGCAGUUUACUGUCGAAGAAAACCUCGGUAGUUAACUGCCGAGAAAAUCUGGACUUAAUCAUUCGCAGAACCAGAACUUCCCAUUUCCAAAAUUUUUCAAAAUUCACAAUUUCUCUCCAAUCUUCACCAAAUCCAUUUUCACGAAUUGCAAGCAAAUCAAGUGCACAUUAUCACAAGUAAGUUGUGUCAAUCAUUUUAAUGAUAAUGUUAAUUUGUUUAGGUUGUUUUCCUCAGUAGUUAACUCCCGAGGAUUUACUCGGCAGUUAACUGCAGCCGGGUUUCUAAUUCCUCGGCAGUUAACUGUCGAGGGGGCAAAAACGUAAAUUACUCGUGUGCCACAACUUUAUCAAAUGUGGGAACAUCAAUUCUCUAAUUAUUUUGAUAUACAAAAUACUUUUGUUUUAAUCUUCUAAUUUUUAGAAAGAACAGAAUUGUUUUUUUUUUAAGGGACGUAAAUAAAUCCUGAUAAGAAAUUCAUUCAACUUGUUUCGAAUCAGCUAGAAGUCAAAUAACGUGAGGCCCAAUAAGACAAAAACCAAAGAUAAAUAAGGCUAGGAACGAUGGAGGCACACGCAAAUAUAUGUGCGGAUUGAGAAGGCGCCACAUCACGGAAGUUGUUAUAACUCUCAUCGUCUAUAUAAGGGUGACUCAGCGCCACCCUCAAAGUAUACUUCACUUUUCUCGCUUUUCGCACAUAACCACCUCGUUCAGAUAGUAACUUGAGCAUUGAAGUGCUAACAUGCAUGCAUGCACUUUUUUCCUCUACUGUGAGAACUCAAUCUCUGUCGCACCAGAACAUCAUGAACAUCUAUUCUUUAUCGGUGAUCUUCACCGAACAUAUCACAACCAAAAAUCAAAUAUGAGUUAUCGUGAAGGACAACUUCAAACACUUCGAAGACACUAUAAUAAACUUUUCACCAAUCGCUAUACACAAAAUCCUUACCCUGUCUCCACAAUUUUUAUGGCGAUUCACACAACUUUAAAAAUAUUUGCAACUUUCCCUUGAAAAAGGACAUCAUGACAGUCCAACCAAAUGCACUAAAAUGUUGUGUGCUAUAUAGUUAGUGUAAAUAUGACGAUGAUAACAACAAGUCAACAACAAUAAUGUAUUCCCUAAAAAAAACAACGAUAAUGUAUUAUUAUUAUAAGGAAAAUGCUAGUACUUUACAGAUAUAUGUUAAAGAAUUUAAAGUAAAAAUUAUGUCUUAAAAACUGUAUCAAUUUAGUUCUCAAAAUUUUAAAAUUAAUUUUUUUUAUCAAAUAUUUACCAUGUAUAAAUUUUUUAACAUAUGUCCUUAGACCAUAUAUUAACAAAAGUUAGCAACAUUAAUAAUAAUAAUAAUAUGGCAAAUUCUAUGGUACACCCAAUAUAUUUGAGUGUAUCGGUACACUCACUCUUUAAAUUAAUGGUUAAAUGAGAUGUUUUUUUAAGAAAAUUAUUAUUUUCUAUCAUUUAUAUUGUGUACCGUAGAAGUUCCCAAUAGUAUUUGAACAAUCAUUUUUUAACAACAUUUGUGACAACUUUCUCUCUCAUACUCACAUUAUCUUUAUACUUUCUCUCUUAUUGCUUUAGUUUUUGUACCAAUACCUCAUUUUCUUUGUAAAUGUUGAUUGUCUUAAAAGUUGUCAUAUAAAUGGAUGUUCAAAUAACAGAACUCUAAUAAUAAUGGAGAAAUGAUAUUUGUACAACCAUUUUGUAACAACUUUUAGAUAAUUUUCUCUCUCAUACUCACAUUAUAUUCUUACUCUCUCUCUUCCUAUUUCUCUCUCCAUUGUUUUUGACCAAUGAAACGAGAGAAAAAGAAGAUUGUCAAAAAAGUUGUACCAAAUGGUUGUUGAAAUAUCAUUGCUCAUAAUAAUGACUGAUGGCAUAUGCUCUUACAUCACAAACCAUGUAAGUACUCUUUUAUGAAAACUUUUGCUUCUUAUGACAACCAAAUUUUUAUUUGAAGGAAAUGACAACCAAAUUAUGUAGCACACUUAUAUAUUACUAUAGACUUGUGAACCAAACAACAUUUAUUGUAGUCCAUUCCAAUGGCAAAAACAAUUCACAUAGCUGUUAUUCCAAGUCCUGGUUUCAGCCACUUAGUCCCAAUAGUUGAAUUCUCCAAAAGAUUAGUUACAAACCAUCCAAAUUUUCAUGUCACUUGCAUCAUUCCUUCACUUGGUUCACCACCAGAUUCAUCAAAAUCAUAUCUUGAAACAAUUCCACCAAACAUAAACUCAAUUUUUCUUCCACCAAUCAACAAACAAGACUUACCUCAAGGAGUAUAUCCAGCAAUUCUGAUUCAACAAACUGUUACACUCUCUCUACCAUCAAUUCAUCAAGCUCUUAAAUCAUUGAAUUCAAAAGCACCUUUAGUUGCUAUAAUUGCUGAUAUUUUUGCUCAAGAAACACUAGAUUUUGCAAAAGAGUUCAACUCUUUGUUUUAUCUUUACUUCCCUUCUUCAGCUUUUGUACUUUCACUUGUUUUACAUAUUCCCAAUCUUGAUGAAGAGGUUUCAUGUGAAUACAAAGAUUUAAAAGAACCUAUAAAGUUACAAGGAUGUUUGCCAAUCAAUGGUAUUGAUCUUCCAACACCAACAAAAGAUAGAUCAAAUGAAGCUUACAAAAUGCUUCUUCAACGUGCAAAAAAUAUGCAUUUGGUUGAUGGAAUCUUGUUUAAUAGCUUCUUAGAAUUAGAAUCAAGUGCUACAAAAGCAUUGGAACAAAAGGGUUAUGGAAAAAUCGGGUUUUUUCCCGUCGGACCCAUUACACAAAUAGGGUCAAGUAACAAUGAUGUUGUUGGUGAUGAACAUGAAUGUUUGAAAUGGUUGAAAAACCAACCACAAAAUUCUGUUUUGUAUGUUUCUUUUGGAAGUGGUGGAACACUUUCUCAAACACAAAUAAAUGAACUAGCUUUUGGUUUGGAAUUGAGUGGUCAAAGAUUCAUUUGGGUUGUGAGAGCACCAAGUGAUUCAGUUAGUGCAGCUUAUCUUGAAUCUACAAAUGAAGAUCCUUUGAAAUUUUUACCUAUAGGGUUUUUGGAAAGAACCAAAGAAAAAGGUUUUAUUUUGGCAUCAUGGGCACCUCAAGUUGAAAUACUUAAACAUAGUUCAGUUGGUGGAUUUUUAAGUCAUUGUGGUUGGAAUUCAGUUUUGGAGAGUAUGCAAGAGGGGGUGCCAAUAGUAGCUUGGCCUUUAUUUGCAGAACAAGCAAUGAAUGCUGUUUUGUUAAGUGAUGGUCUUAAAGUGGCAAUAAGGUUGAAAUUU